ACCCCAAAUCAAAUUGGAAAAUCAAAUCCAAAUUGAAAAAUCAAAACGGAGAUUUAUUCGGACCCCAAACCCAAAUCGAGAUAAAAAAGGGAUUUCUUCGGACCCCAAAUCAAACCAAAAUCAAAGAGGGAUUUCUUCGGAUCCGAAUCAAGUUGCAAAAGAGGAUUGCCUCGAACCCGAAAUAGAAUUAAAAAGAAAAACAAGUUCACAUAAGAAACCAAACCAAAUCCACAAAUAAACCCAAACCCAAUCCAAAUCAAGUUCACAUAAGAACCCAAACCAAAUCCACAAAUAAACCCAAACCCAAUCCAAAUCAAGUCCACAUAAGAACCCAAACCAAAUCCACAAAUAAGCCCAAACCCAAUCCAAAUCAAGUCCACAUAAGAACCCAAACCAAAUCCACAAAUAAACCCAAACCCAAUCCAAAUCAAGUCCACAUAAGAACCCAAACCAAAUCCACAAAUAAACCCAAACCCAAACCAAACCAAGUCCACAAAUAAACCCAGAAAUAAACCGAAACUUGAACCCAAAUAAACCCAAACCCAAUCCAAAUCAAGUCCACAAAUAAACCCAAACUUGAACCCAAAUAAAAUCCGAAUUCAAAUCCAAACCAAAUCAAAUCCAAACCUAAAAUCAAAUACAGUCCACAAAUAAACCUAAACCCAAAACCCAAAUAAACCCAAACCCAAAACCUAAAUUAAAUCCGAACCCAAACCCUAAACCAAACCCAAACCAAGUCCACUUAAAGAACCCAAACCCAACUCAAAUCAAGGCCACAAUCCAAAUCGAAACCCAAAACUCAAAUCCAACUUCUAACUUAGGCUCAUGAACCUAAACCAUACCUAAGUUCGUGAACCAAAUCCCAAAUCCUAUACACAAGUUCAUGAAUCAAGUCUCAUGAACCAAAACUCAUAAACCAAGUUCAUGAACCAUGAACCAUGAACCAUGAACUAUGAAACCAUGAUCCAAGUUCAUGAAUCAUAAAUCAAGUCCAUAAACCAAGAUUCAUGAGCCAAGUUCAUAAACCUCAUCCAUGAACCAUAUCCCAGUUCAUGAACGAAAUCCCAUACACCAAACCUCAUGAACCAUAAACCACAACCCAAGCCCAUGGACCAAAUCCUAUAGCUUAUUCAAGUUCGUGAACCAAACACCACGAACCAUACCCAAGUCCCAUAAACCAUGAAUCAAGUUCGUGAACCAAACACCACGAACCAUACCCAAAUUCAUGAACCAUAAACCAAACCCCAUGAACCAUACACCAAAAUGAACCAUGAACCAAAUCCAUAAACCAAGUCCACAAACCUCAUAAACCAAAUUUAUGAACCAUGAACCAUGAACCAUGAACCAAGUCUAUAAACCUCAUCCAUGAACUAUAUCCAAGUUUAUGAACCAUACACCAUAAACCAUAAACCAAGACCAUAUACCCAACCUUAUGAACCAUAAACCAUAUCCAAGUUCAUGAACUGAGUCUCAUGAACCAUACCCCAUGAACCAUACACCAAUUCCAUACAUGAACCAAAUAAAUCAAAACCCAUAUACCAAGUUUAUGAAUCAUAAACCAAGUUCAUGAACCAAAUCUCAUGAAUUAUACACCAAAUCCCAUAUACCAAAUCUUGAACCUUUUCUUUACUCUAGCUCAUAUACCUAGAGUGAAAAGUAAAUAUCGACUACCCCUAAUACAUAUACUUAGAGCUAAGUCAAUCGCCUUAGCACAUAUACUAAGGCAAAACAUCUCCAAAUCAACAGAGUUCUAAAUUAUACACUUAGAAUUCAAUCAAAUGAUAUCAAGUUCAUGCGAACUCUAACACAUAUACUUAGAGUUUAUCCGACUAACCCUGACAUAUAUCCUUAGGGUCUAGUCAACCUUUUGCUCUAGCACAUAUACCUAGAGUGGAAGUCAAACCAAGCUCGACUAGUCCUAACCCAUAUACUUAGGGUCUAGUCAGUCUUUUGCUCUAGCACAUCUACCUAGAGUGAAAUCCAUACCCGAUCGAGCUCUAAUACAUAUACUUAGAGCUCAAAUCCGACGGAACCUAACAUAAUACCUUAGGGCUUAGUCAGAUCCUCACUCUAGCACAUAUAACUAGAGUGAAAAAUUUAUUAAACUCGGUUAAUCCUGAUACAUAUACUCAGGAAUUAACCACCCUCUGCUUUCGGGUAAUUCGACCCACCUCAAUACAUAUACAUGAGGUCAGGUCACAUCUCCACCUUGGAAUAUACAACCAAGCUGAAUAUAAUCGGACUCUAAGACAUAUGCUUAGAGCCAAUUAGACUCUAAUACAUAGAGUUUAGUAUCGACUAGGUCUUAAUACAUAUACUUAAGACCUAGUCAAUCUCAAAUCCAACUGAAUCCUAAUACAUAUACUUAGGAUUCAAUAAACCAAGACACAAUUCAUUUCAUCCUCUCUACAAAGGUCUCUUAAUCGAAGGUACCCCAAUGCCAUGGGGGUAAUUAACAAUAGAUGCUUGCAUCUAUUGGAAGCCAUGGACCCGCGAUACCUGAUACCCACAUACAUAUAAAUACUCAUCUGAAUCAUGAAUACUACCCCACGGCCGAUAUCCAUCGACCGUGCGAGGUGCGUCAUUCGUGGUGGCAGACAGCAAUGCAGAUCAUGCAAUCAACUAAGCAGAUCAUCCGAUACUAUUUUUCAUCUCGCUAUCCAUAGAUCAUACCCAACUAGCUUCUAAGGUUUCUACUACCUUAGAUCCAAGCUAUUUACCAAUUGCUCUUGAGGUUUCAUCUAUCAUAACCAAACUAUCCACCCGACUCGGCCUCGAGUCAAUCCUAUGCGGAGUACCGCGCACUCUGCUGCAUCCACAGCCCAAUCAUUUACCCUUUUUUGUAACCCAAUCUUUCCGGCUAACCCGAAUGUUGAGCCACGACUCACAACCAAAUCCCUACAAUCGUGAGGAGCUUCCACUAUACUCACCCGGGACCGUCUGCGGGGAAGCUAUGCUAACCCCUACCUGAAGUACUCUCGAAACCAAGCUUGGGUGGAGCGACCACCGACAAGUGAAACAGACGUAAUGUGAGUAUGAUCCAAUCCUCUAGCUUGAGGAUACCCUGCCAACUAGUAGUAAUCAAGCCGGGAUAAACACCAAUCCCAAUCCUCAUAUACUGAGUAAUCACAAUGCCUCUGGCUAAUGCCACAAUGUCACAAUGUCUCUAGCUAAUGCUACAAUGUCACAAUGUCUCUAGCCAAAUGCCACAAUGUCACGAUAUCUCUAGCUAAUGCCACAAUGUCACGAUGUCUCUAGCCAAAUGCCACAAUAUCACAAUGUCUCUAGUUAAUGCCAUAAUGUCACAAUGGCUCUAGCUAAUGCCACAAUGUCAUAAUGUCUCUUGCCAAAUGCCACAAUGUCACAAUGUCUCUAGCUAAUGCCACAAUGUCACAAUGUCUCUAAGUUCUCAUUGUUAUGUCAAAUGCCACAAUAUUACAAUUACACAUGCAUAUACUUUUUAGCAAAUUCUACAACUUGCCAACAUGCAUAAUUUCAUCUAGCAUAUUCCACAAUAUUAACAUUCAUAUACCAUCUAGCAUAUUUUCCAUAAUAACAACAUGCAUAUUCUUUGUCAUCCAAGGGUAGUUAUACGUAUCAUCUCAUGCAUUCACAUGGUAUCUACCUAUGCAUUCAUGUAUGUAAUUAACUACCGCUACAUGCAUCAACGACAAACCACUUCACUUUGACAUGGAAGUGACCUAAUCACUUCAGUGAAGCACAACCCACCUCGCAAUGCUAUCUGAUUGCUUGUAGUCACUUGCAAUCGAACUGCCGCGGCACACGUGAUCCUGUUCGGCUCGAUCUCGCAAUUGAUCACCGAACGUGCAUCGAUUUCCAACCUAGAGUUGUCAGGGGUUCAUCUCUAACAUUCAAUUAGAGAAUUAUAAGGUUAACUUAGAUCAAAACCCUAAAAUCCCAAAACCCCCAAGCUUUUCACAUAUCCUUCAAACAUCCCAAAACUCAUGGAGCAACAUGUUAAGCUAGCUUAGAAUAGUUUAGGGAUCACUAGAAUACCAUUCAUGAAGAAUUUAACACAAACCCUAGCUUCAACCAUGAAAUCUCACCUUAGGCCACCAUGCUCACCAAGCUAAAUCCACCAUUGGAGAGCCCCAAGCUUCCUCUCCAAGCUAUUCCAAGUUUAACCUCCAAUUUCUCCUCCAAUUCUUCUCUUUGGUGGAGAGAUUACAAGAGAGGGAGAAAGAUGUGAGCUUAGAGAGAAAGAGAGAAAGAGAGAAGACUUGCUUCCCCUCUCUCUCUCGGGUUGAGCCAGAACAAAUGGGGAGAAGCAAUUGUUACAUAUAUAGACCCCCAACAUUAAUACAAUUUUUAGUUUAGCAUUUCAGAAUCUGAAGUUUUUCACCGGAGCCCUUCUAAAUGUCCGUUUGCUCUCAAAUUUAACAGUCAGGCUCGGUUUAACUUAACAAGAAGAACGGAAUCUUAACUUCUCAGUUUCGACCAUUUUUUAUCAUCGAAAGCUCUACCGACUAAAAUCUCUAGUAGAUAGCAGUCAGAUUUUAUUUUUCACUUUACGGGCGUAGGAAUGACAUGAAACUUUAAAUCUAGCCUCAUAAAAAUAAUUCCAACAUAUUCUCAAAUUUUCACAAUUUUUUGAUACUGUGAAUUUUUGCUAAAAGAUCAGCCUCGUUUCUUACAGAAAAUUCUAAAUCUUCUAUUUCCAUUCCAAUUUCAGCACAAGUUAUUUCCGACUUAUAUUUCACUUCUUUAAGUCCAAUAAAAAUAGUAUCUUACACUAUUUUUAUUUAUACAUACUUUUAUAUUAAAAAUUCGGUACAUUACAACUGGAUCGUGGAGAAGUGGUUGAUGCACAUGGAAAAACUUUUCUAUGACACCUUUGUGGAGGAGAGGGACAGAGUUUGGCUCGCCACUCAUCACCUUGUCGGCGAGGCCUACCUUUGGUGGUUGGAUAUCCGAGACAACCCCAACACGGAUUUGUCGGCUAUUUCUUGGAAACGGCUCAAGGAGCUUCUGUUGGCGCACUGCUUCCCCGACAGUGUCAAGAGGCAAAUGGAGAAGGACUUGCGCGGCUUGCGCCAGGGGGAGUGGACGGUGGUCGAGUAUGAGCGGGAGUUCUCCCGGCUCCACCAUUGCGUGCCUUUCGUCGUGCGGGACAAUGAGGACAAGGCCCACAUUUUUUAGAGUGGAUUUCGGCCGUCGAUCUUCCGCUUCGUGCAAUCGUCGAAUCUGCAGACCUACCGGGAAGUGGUGAACUGCGCUCUCAUUGUGGAGAGAGGCGCGGCGGAUGUGCAGGAACGAAGAGAUGGCUUAGACAAGGGUACGGGUAAGAGACCCGCGACUGAGGGUGCGAGUUAGGCGCACUCUAGGAGGCCGCCGAGACCCCCGAGGAGCGAGUCGAGAGGGUGUGGCUCAUCUGAGCAGCGAGAAGGUUCUGAUCGUCGCCGACCUCCUAAGUGUGUGAUCUGCGGUGGUCCCCACAUUCCACCGCAGUGUCCGCAGCGGGGAGGCAGGUACUUUCUCUGUGGCCAGGAGGGCUACUUUCGGACAGAGUGCCCGAAGGGUUCGUCACGGGCACCGUCAUCUGCAUCGGCACUAGCUUUACCAGCUUCUAGCUAGGGGACACCAUCGGGGCACUACCAGUCUGGACGGUCACCCGUCCAGCGACAGACUGAGGGGUCACGACAGGCCCUGAGUAGGCGCAUGUAUGCGACUCAGACAGAGGAGGCGGCAGCAGCCGAGGAUGUGGUGGCAGGUGUCAUUUUAUUAAAUGACAUUAGAGUUCGAGCUUUAUUUGAUACUGGUGCAUCGCAUUCAUUCAUAGAUAGGUUGUUUGCCGAGUUCCAUGGCAUCCUAUUAGCAUCUUUGUUGCAUCCUGAACGAGUUAUUGUACCCGACCACACUGUCACGCCCCAACGCUCGCCUAUUUGGUCGGAUUCGGACACGCCAACAGACCGCCGAACGGACAGAGUUUUUCCUGUACAUUCUAGGCGUCACAAUCCAUACAAUUCACGAGAUUCCAACCAGGAACAUAAUUUAAACACAGAUUGCAUAAGGAAGGUAUUGAAAACAUAAAUCCUAUGCUAUUACAAGCAUUCACCACAUUUAAUUUACAUAUUAUAUUUUUGUUUCCACUUAACCUCCAAAUACAAUCAAGUUAUUACAAUUUUACUACAACUUUGUUGUUUUCAUUUCUAUACCCCUAGCUAAGCCGACUUGGGGUACUGCUAUCUCUGGUCACAAUGGUAGGGUGCUUGUAAUGUACCGAACUCCUACGGUUAUGAAAUUUCGGUGGGAACUUGCUCGAAGAGUUGUUAGAGUAGUUCCGGUGAAGUUCGGGAGCAUUUGAGUGUUUUCGGUACGCGUUGGGCGCGAAAAUGGAACUCGAAAAGCUAUGUUUAACUUUGGCCUAAAUCCGGCAAGCGUGGAUGAAAAGAUGGCCUAAACGCGCUCAAAAAUGUGUUACGGGGGUCUCAGAACGAUUAGAAAUGCAUCGGAGGCCCCGGGAGCGAAAACGAAGUAAAUCGGUGAAAAGCUGAAAAAGGCUGAAAUUUGCAAAAUUUCUGGACCUACGGGGUCCGGACCCUAGGGCCAAGGUCUAGACCCCGAACCCGUGUUUUCCCUAGUAAGAGCAGGGGCAGUUUGGUAAUUGAGGAGAGAGGCUUUUAUAAAGGGGGCUUCUUCUUCCUUCUUUCUUCUUCCUCAGCCCAAAGCACUACACACACACUCAUGGGUAGAGAGAGAAGCUCCUCUCUCUCUAGCUUUCCCACUUUCCCUCUCUAGAUAUCUCUCCCAAAUUUGAAAGGUUGGCGGAGAGCGAGCUUCGUGUGCCCGGUGGAGCGGCAUGCUUUCGACUCGGGGUUCACAUUUUAGUAAGUGUUUAGGAUUUGGUUAAAUCCUUCAUGAAUGACAUUCUAACGAUCCCUAGGCUAUUAAAUACAUGUUCCUCCAUUUAAUUUUGGGUUAUUUGGAGAAUAUGCUCAUGCUAGGGUUAGAAUGGGGGUCUUGGGGCAAAUGAGGGUUUGAUUUAAAUUAACCCUAUUAUUCUUUAAUUGAAGGUUAGAGAUGAGCCCUUGAUGACCCUAGGUUGCAGAUUGGCGGGUGUUCGGUAAUCGAUUGCGAGUUCGAGCCGAACCGGAUCACGUGUGCCGCGGGAGCCCGAUUGCAAGUGNAUGGGCCCUAGAUGACCCUAAGUUGCAGAUUGACGGGUGUUCGGUGAUCGAUUGCGAGUUCGAGCCGAACCGGAUCACGUGUGCCGCGGGAGCCCAAUUGCAAGUGUUGACAAGCAAUCAGAGAGCGUUGUGAGGUGGGUUGUGCUCAUCGAAGUGUUUAGCUUACUUCCAUGUCAAAGUGAAGUGUGGUUGUCAUUGAUGCAUGUAGCAUAGUUAAUUACAUAUAUGAAUGCAUAGGUAGAUGCCAUGUGAAUGCAUGAGAUGAUAUGUAUUAACUAUCCUUGGAUGACAGAGAUUAUGCAUGUUGACAUACUAUAGAAUAUGCUAGAUGAUGUAUACAUGUUGAUAUUAUGAGAAUAUGUUAGAUGGUAUAAAAAUGUUGACAUUGUGAGAUUAUGCUAGAUGAAAUAUGCAUGUUGACAUAUUGUGAAUUAUGUUAGAUGAAUAUGCAUGUUGACAUAUUAUAGCAUUUGCUAUAUGGUAAAUGGAUGUUGGCAUUAUGAGAAUGUGCUAGAACGUAUAUGCAUGUGAACUUGUGACAUUAUGGCAUUAGCUAGAGACAUUGUGACAUUGUGACAUUAGCUAGAGACAUUGUGACAUUGUGGCAUUAGCUAGAGACAAUGUGAUCACUCAGGAUAUGAGGAUUGGGAUUGGUGUUUAUCCCGGCUUGAUUACCACUAGUUGGUAGGGUAUCCUCGGGGUAGAGGAUUGGAUCAUGCUCACAUUACGUCUGUUUCGCUUGGUGGUGGUCGCUCCACCCAAGCAGUGGUUCCGGAGUACUUCACGGUAGGGGCUAACGUAGCUAUCCCGCAGACAGUCUCGGAUGAGUGUAGUGGAUGCUCCUCACGUUGCGAGAUUCGGUUGUGAGUCGGGGAUUAACCUUCGGAUAAGCCGGAAUGAUGGGGUUAUGAAAAAAGGUAAAUGGCAUGGAUCUAAGGUAGUAGAAACCUUAGAAGCUAGUUGGAUAUAACCUAUGGUUAGCGAGAUAAAAAGUAUAAUCAGUUGAUCUACUUAGCUUGUUGCAUGAGUUGCAUUGUUGCAUAAAUUACAUAUCGCAUGUCUUGAGGCAUAAGCAUGUAUUUAAUACUUGCAUAAAAUUAUCUGUGGAUAUCUGUUGAACAAACAUGUUGCAGUAUCUCCUUUGGACCUAGUGGGUUGAGCUUUUUCAUUGGGUAGUCGUACCCACUGGGAACUAUGGAUAUAGUUCUCACCCCACGUUGUUUUGGGAGAUUUCAGGUUCACACGCGAGCGGCGCAACGGCGCGAGGAAAGGGCGUAGCUCCGUAUAUAGCGCCCUACCAUUGUGACCCGAGAUAGUAGUACCAUGAGGUGGUCUAUCUUAGGAGUAGAAAUGAAAGAAAACAAACUUGUAAUAAUGUCGAUUGUAUUUGGAAGUUGAAUGUAAUGUAAAAUAAAAAUUUGAGAUUAAUGCUUGUAAUAGCAUAGUUGUAUUUAUGUUUUUGAUACUUCCUUAUGCAAUCUAUAUUUGAAUACUGUUCCUGGUUGGAACCUCGUGUAUUUUAUUGCAUUGAUUGCGACGCCUUGAACGUACAGGAGAAAUUCUGUCCGUUCGGCGGUCUGUUGGCGUGCCCGAACCGACCAAAUAGGCGGGUUUCGGGAUGUGACAGUGCUAUCUACGGAGCUACGCCCUUUCCUCGCGUUACACCGCCGCUCGCGUGUGAACCUGAAGACCCCCAAAACAACGUGGGGUGAGAACUAUAUCCAUAGUUCCCAGUGGGUACGGCCACCCAAGGAAAAAGCUCAACCCACCAGGUCCAAAGGAGGCACUACAAUCAUGUUAGUCCAACAGAUAUCUAUAGAUAAUUCAUGCAAGUUCUAAAUAUAUGCGUAUGCCUCACAAUCAUGCAAUAUGCAAAUUAUGCAAUAACAUAAGUAGAUCUACUGAUUCUACUUUCUAUCUUGCUAUCCAGCUCAUAUCCAACUAACCUGUAAGGUUUCCUCUACCUUAGAUCAUGUCAUUUACCACUUGCGCUUAAGGUUUCAUCUACCUUAACCAAGCUAUCCACCCGACUCGGCCUCGAGUCAAUAAUCCGUGGAAUACCGCGUAGAGCCAGGCUCGAGGUGAAGGACGUCUCACAAGCACCUCAGCCUUAAAUCCACCCGACUAUAGGUCUACCGUAGGGUGAAGACAACCGUCGAACCCUGGACCAUAAGUCGCUCAAGCUCAAGCUCAUGGCAUACCGGGCGAGGAGAACAAACAUACCUGUUAAAUCACUUUCGGGCGAGGAGAACCAACAUACUCGCAGUUCUGAUUCACUUGCACUUGUUGCCAUCAUUCCUAGGGAUUCCGAAAUCCAUUUCCAAGGCUUAAGGGUUGGUCACAUCCUAUGUUGUCAACCUUUUUAGGUUCGACUCAUGCACAUCCUAGUGGCUACUCUACCACUAUAAUUACAACCUAGGUUUUACCACACUAGGUUCUAUGCUAUUUCCAUCUAGAUUUACUUGACUCUAGGUUUACUAUUCAACCUAUGUUCAAUGACACUAGGUUCCAUGUCCAACCUAUGUUUAAUAACACUAGGUUCAAUGCCACUCAAUCUAUUCGUCAUCCUAGUUGUCCACACCUAGGAUCCAUAGAUUACAUAUCCUUGUUUUCCAAUUAUCGAGUUCUCUAAUCAACCUAGAGUUAUCGACCCAAGUUCACAUUUACAUGAAUCCAGCACAUGCUAUAAUAUGUCAACAUGCCUAUACUUUCUAGCAUAUUCUCAUAAUGUCAACAUGCAUAUACUUGUCAUCCAGGGUAGUCAAUUCAUAACAUCAUGCAUUCACAUCGCAUUCACCUAAUGCAUUCACAUAUGUAAUUAACUACCGUUACAUGCAUAUAUCCUCAUCUAGCAUAUUCCAAUGGUAGGUAACCUCAACUUAGCAUAAUACAAUUCAUGCAUUUAUAUUAUCAUUUACAACCUACCACUAUAUAUAUAUGCAUCAAUAAUAACCAUACUUCACUUUGGCUUGGAAGUAACCUAAUCACUUCGGUGAAGCACAACCCACCUAAUAACGUUCUCAAAUUAUUUGUCGACUGUAACACACUGGACCUUUGCAAAUUGCGAGGUUCAAGUGUUUGAUUUGUGUUUCGAGCUUUUCUAGGUAUUCUGGAGGAUCGUCGACGGUGUUCCGACCUAUGGCUCGCAUCCCGAGAAUCGAGAUUUAAAUCUUAGCACUAAAAUCUCUAAAGUGAAGAUUUUAGGCUACUCUCGGGUUGGACUCUGCAGAGCAGAGUACCGGUAUUGCAUCGGGUCCGUACCGGAACUGGACCUGGUACCGGUACUGUAUCGGGCUGGUACUGGUACCCAGUGUAUUUUUCUGCGAACCCGAGGCUCGGGUUUGCGCAGACUGCUGCUUGGUACCGGUACUCUUUCCCGCGUACUAGUACGCAGUGCAGGUGCAGGCUGCAUGUUGUUGAAAGAUUUUUUUGAGAUUGUUACAUCUCUAUAUAACAUCCCACAGCCCUUAGAUGGCUCCUUUGAGCCCUAAUUCGUGGAGAACACAGGUAGAACACCUCUCCCUUGGUUUUCUCCCAUUUUUCUUAGUUUUUACUUGGUUUGAUCUCUCUUUUUCCCUCCUCUUUGCUUCAUAUUGGAUUUCUACCAUUGGAGAAGCUUUGGAUUGAAGAGAGGAGCUUUCUAGAGGAUCAAUAUUCAACCUUAGCUCAUUCUAAGCUUGGAUUGGAGCUUAUUGAGAGGUUUCUACCAUAGAUCUUCUCUUUAGAUCUUGCUUUGGUAGAAUUUUUGAGAUGAAAAUUUAGAAUUAAGAAUCUAGGGUUUUAUUUGGGGAUUUUUGAUUAGAAGCUUUUGGAGUUCAAUUGAUUGGUUUAGAACAUUUGUUUAGUUUGGAUUUGAAGGGACCUAGCUCACAUUUGGGAUUUGAGAGGGUUUUUCUACACUAUAGGUGAGUUUUAACCCUUUUCUUGGGUUGAUUAAUGUUUGAAACUAUGAGUGUUCGUUCCUUGUGUUUAACUCUCUUAAAGUUUCCUUUAGGGAGCUAGGAGGCUAGUGGACACCUUCUUUUGCGCGAACAAAGGGUUCCAAGAAGCUCUUGGUGGGUUUGACCUCACCGAAAUGGGUGAAAUUCCUCCUAUGUUAUUUUUCUUGUUCUAAAAAUAGAAGUUCUUACAUAUUCAUGCUAGAUAGAGCAUUUGUGAAUUUUAGAAUGCUUAAAAUACAUAUAUUAUGUAUAAUGAAAUAUUACCUCUAUGUAGUAGAGAGAGUUGCAUAUAGUAUGCAUGCAAGUGAAUAGCAUUCUUUUAUAUGGUUUGGAAUCAUGUUUCAUUUAGUGAAAAUGAUAAGAAUAUCAUGCACUUGGACAUAGAACUUAUACUUGACAUAGUGGACUUUAAAUGUCAUGAAGUGGCAUUCAACUUGGCAAAUGAUUAAACUUGUAUUUAAUGACAUAGUGAUAGGCCAUUGGGAUAUUAGCCUAUAUACCAUGUUUUAGACAUGAUGACAUUGGAUUUGAGAUGGAUGAUUACGCUUACUUGCCAUUGUGCUCUUCGCACAUACUUGUGAGGGUCGCUCCCCACAAGUCCGCACUCCGGAGAUAGCCAUCGCGACAUAAGCUCGCCCGUGCGUGAUUCAGCACCGAAAUAGGAUGCCGUGAGGGAGGCUCAUUCCUAGGGUGGGAAUGUUGACUACCACUGGGCCAUUAGGCACGGCGUAAGCCGGACUACCCAUUGGUAGGUCCUACAUGAUCGGAACAUUAUUGAACUAAAAUGCAAAGUAGAUAUUAGACAAAUUAGUAAACAUUGAUAUUUUACUAGUUGCACUUGUGGAUGUCAUGUUGGUUAUACUUAUGCAUAUUCAUGUUAGAAUAACAUUUAUAUUUGUGAAAAUUCAUGCUAAAGUAGAGGCAUUGUAGUUAGUAAGCUUAUUUCAUGUUUUAUAUACAUGUUGUUCUUUCCAAUUAAAAGUUGAACAUACUACUUUUGCCUUUUUAGCCUAGUGGUGCAUUUCGCGAAGGUCAGCGAUUGCCCACUGGGAACUAUUGUUUAAUAGUUUUCACGCCCCAUGUUUUGUUAUUUUCUUACAGAGCCUUCCACCCCGGGAGAGGCUCAGGAUUGCGGUAAAGGGAUCGCUACUACCUAGAUAGCGAGGAGUGCUUGGUUUAGGUGGUUCAUCUCUCUUUUUUUUGUAUUAUUGUAGAGAGUGAGAGUUUUGUAUCCAUGUAUAGAGACCACCACUAUUGUAUCUUUAGGACAUGUAUUGUGGAUUAUUUGAUGUACUACUUCUUGGUUUUAUUAGUGGAUUAGUUCCUUUAUUUACCCCCUUAUUCUAGAAUCUAGUUGUUGUAUGCUCUGAUACUCCUAGAUGCUCAUUUAUUAUUGCUCUAUUUAUCGCUUCGUUCUAGACGCCUUAUAUGUUGUAGGUGUAUGGAGGGUCUGGACGUGCACCGGGCUGGCUUCCACUGGGUCCCGGGGCGUGACAUCGACACUUGCAAUCGGGCUCCCGCGGCACACAUUGUCCGGUUCUGCUUGAACUCGCAAUCAAUCAACGAACGCCCGUCAAUCCGCAAUCUAGAGUUGUCAGGGGCCCUCCUCUAACCUUUAAUUAGAGAAAUAUAGGGUUAAAUUAGAUCAAAACCCUCAAAUCCCCAAAACCCCCAUUCUAGCCCUAGCAUCCACAUAUCCUCUAAAUAACCCAUAAUCACAAGGAGGAACAUGCUUAUAAUAGCCUAGGGAUCUCUAAAAUACCAUUCAUGAAGGAUUUAACCAAAUCCAAAACCCUUACCAAAAUGCAAACCUCGAGUUGAAAGCACGUCGCUCCACCGGGCGCACGAGGACUCGAUCCGUCGCUUCCAACGCGUUCCCAAGCUUCUUCUCCACCAACACUCCGAAUUUGGGGGAGAGAUCUAGAGAGGGAAAGUGGGAAUCUAGAGAGAGAAAGGAGAGCUUCUCUCUCUACCCAAGUGUGUGUGUGGUGUGUUGGCUGAGGGAGGAAGAAGAACGGGGAGAUGGCCCCCUUUAUAUAAAGCCAUCCACAAUAAUUACCAAAAUGCCACCCUGCGUGGGCUGGUUUCGGGUUCGGGGUCCGGACCCUGGCCCUAGGGUCUGGACCUCGUAGGUCCAGUAGCAGCGAAAAUUUCAGCAUUUUCCGUUUUACUUCGUUUUCACUCGUUGGGCCUCCGAUCCAUCUCUAAUCAUUCCGAGACCCCCAAAACACAUUUUUGAGCAUGUUUAGAUCAUUUUUUCAUCCACGCUUCGUCGGAUUUCGGCCAAAGUCCAACCUAGCUAUUCGAGUUCCGUUUUCGCAUCCAACACGCACCGAAAACACUCGGAUGCUCCCGAACUUCACCGAAACUACUCUAUGAAUAGCUUUGCAACUAACAUCUGCCGUAAUUUCAUAACUAUAGAAGUUCGGCAUAUUACACACACCUUGGAUAUUUGGGAGUUUUGCCCCAGUUGCCCUGUUCGGGUAGGGGAUUGGAUUAUGCCCGUAGAUUUGCUAGUCUUGCGCAAACUGGGAGAGUUUGAUGUGGUUUUGGGUAUGGACUGGUUGACGAGAUACUUUGCCACUAUCAAUUGUAAGAAUCAAAUGGUGACUUUUAGAGAACCGGGGCAGGAAGAAGUGAUUUUCAGGGGACGUCAGAGUUCGCUAUUUGCGAUGACGAUUAGCUCGUCUCGAGCUAGGCAGUUGAUUUGCACGGGUUGUGUAGCCUAUUUGGCUAGUGUGGUGUUGAGGGGUGAUGAUACCCCUAGAAUUGAGGACAUCCCGGUGGUACGGGAGUUUGGUGAUGUGUUUCUAGCGGAGCUACCAGGUAUGCCACCUGAUAGGGAGAUUGAGUUUGUGGUAGAUCUUAUCCCCGGAACUACCCCAAUCUCAAAGGUGACACCGGCUGAGUUGAAAGAGCUGAAGGCACAGUUGCAGGAUUUGUUGGACAAAGGUUUUGUUCGACCUAGCAUCUCGCCUUGGGGAGCGCCAUUUCUGUUUGUCAAGAAGAAAGACGGAUCACUUUGCUUGUGCGUAGAUUAUCGUGAGCUCAAUAAAAUCACGAUCAAGAACAUGUAUCCGUUGCCAAGGAUUGAUAACUUGUUUAAUCAGCUUCAGGGAUCAAGUGUGUAUUCUAAGAUAGACUUGCAGUCGGGAUACUACCAGUUAAAGAUUAAGCCUGAGGAUGUAUCGAAGACGGCUUUUAGAACACGGUAUGGACAUUAUGAGUUCACCGUUAUACCGUUUGGGCUUACUAAUGCAUCGACAGCUUUUAUGGAUCUAAUGAACUGUGUUUUCAAGCCUUAUCUACACAGGUUCGUCGUGGUGUUCAUCGACGAUAUUUUGGUUUAUUCCCGAAGUGACAAGGACAACGAAGUGCACUUAAGACUUGUACUUCAAGUGCUUCGGGAAAGGAAAACUAAGUUAAAAAAGUGUGAAUUUUGGCUUCGAUAGGUGGCAUUUUUGAAAUACUUGAUUUCGGGAUCGGGUAUAGCCGUGAAUCCUAAAAGAUUGAAGCUAUCAAGGAUUGGCCUAGACCGACAAGUGUCACGGAGAUUCGGAGUUUUCUUGGUUUGGCCGGCUACUACCGGAGAUUUGUUGAGGGGUUUGCAAAGUUGUCUACUCCCCUCAUGCGGCUCACGCGCAAAGGCACCAAAUUCAUAUGCAAUGAUGCGUGCGAGAGAAUCUUUCAAGAGCUGAAGGAACGGUUGACGACUGCCCCAAUCCUGACCUUGCCAGUUGCUGAAGUAGGAUAUGUGAUUUAUAGUGAUGCAUCUUUUAAUGGAUUGGGCUGUAUUUUGAUGCAGGAUGGAAAAGUGAUCGCGUUUAUUUCUCGCCAAUUGAAGGGGUAUGAAAGGAACUAUCCUACACAUGAUUUGGAGUUGGCGGCCGUAGUCUUUGCAUUAAAGCUAUUGCGUCAUUAUCUUUAAUGGCGAGCGGCUGUGAAGUGACACGGAUCACAAGACUUAAAGUAUUAUUCAGUUAGAAGGAGUUGACAUUGACCAACAGCGCAAAUGGUUGGAACUAAACUCAGAGAAUUAUAGAUUUAGGACAAUCUCUACCACCGGGCAAGGCUAACGUGGUGGCGGAUGCGCUAAAAAGUCGGAAAUCGACGAAAAUUUCGGCAAUAUCUCGUAGCGACACAACCGCCGUUGAUUGAGCAGAUGAAACAUUUGGAGUUGGAGGUGGUGACUCGCUGUACACCGCUUGAAUGAUGGCAUAUGUGCGACUACUUAUUAGAAAGGAUUAAAGACAAAGCAAGUUUCACACGAUGUGGGAGUUGCAAAAGAUCGAGCUAAGAUGGUUAAUUGGUUUUAACCGGUUGAUUAUCAUGUGGAAGACCAUAGGGUUUGUUGGCGUUCCGCGAGCGAUUUGUGUACCGCAGAAUCCAAAAAGGGAAAUUAAAGAGGAUAUCACCGCACCCUUGGCUUUAACAAUCCGGGAGGCCACUCAGAUUGUAAAAGACUUGAAGUUAUUGUAUUGCUGGCCGCGGAAAUAAAAUGGACGUUGCGCAGUUUUAGCUAGAUAUUUAACUUGUCAACAAGUGAAAGUUGAUGCACCGACUACCUGCGGGAAAACUUCGAAGUUGCUAUUCCCAGUGUGGAAGUGGAAAAAGAUCACUUGGGAUUUUGUUAUGGGAUUGCUCGCUCCUCAGGCCGGGUAUGAUUGCUAUGUGGGUGAUCGUGGAUAGGUUGACGAACUCGGCUCAUUUUAUACCUAUUCACGACGACUUGGACAAGUGAGAACUCGCACAAGUGUACCUUGAUGAGAUGUACGACUUAAUGGUGUGGCCUACUUCGAUAUGUAUCUGAUCGAGAUCAUCCCCAGAUUUGUAUCUCACUUUGGGAGGAGUCUGCAGGAUACGCUUAGGCACUUCGUUUGAUUCAGGCACUUCUUUUCUCACCCUUAGAUGAUGGGCAAUCCUGAGCACUAAUACAGACUUUAGAGGAUAUGCUUAAGCGUGAGUGAUAGACUUCUAGGGUGGAUGUCACAGCACUUACCGAUGGCAACAGUUUGGCUUUAACAAUAGUUAUCAGUAAGCAUCAAAGGCACCCUUCGAAGCACUUUAUGGAUGGCAGUGUACGAUUGCCACUUAAUUAGGUGAGUUGGCGAGAGAUUGGUCUUUAGGCUCUGAUGUCUCAAAGAAUCAGAGGAUAAGGUUUGCCUUGCUCGAGAGGCAUUUGCUACGGCGUCAAAGUAAGACAGAAGAGCUAUGCUGAUAAGCGACGACAAGACUUGGAGUUUCCUAAAAUUGUUUCUUUGAAAGUCUCGUCGACCAUCAGGAAUUUAGAAAUUUGCAUUCGGUAAGUUGAGCGGCCCGGUUUUUUAUUGGGACCGUAAUGAGAUUUGGAGCGUGUAGGCCCGGAGCGUGAUAGGCUUGCUCUACCACUGGAACCUAUCGGGAGUGCACAUUGUGUUUCAUAUAUCGGUUCUUCGGAAGUACAUCUUCGAUCCGCUCACGUUUGAAUGUUAUCUAAUGGAGCUGAGGGAUGAUUUGAGGUUGAAGAGCAACCUGUGCGGAUUUUGGCUCGCGAGGUGAAAAAGCUUCGGAAUCGCUACAUUCCUUAUGUGAAGGUUUUUGGGCAAUCCAGGAUGAACGCGAGGCACUUGGGAUUUGGAGAUGCUGCUGCAGGACCGCUAUCCCAUCUUUUCAAAUAGAGUCUUGAGGUAACUUGCUUUUUAGUUUCGCCGCAGACAGAAACUCCAUUUUAAGGAGACCGGAGAAUGUAACGACACUGAACUUUAGCAAAUUGCAAGUUCGAGUGUUUGACUUGUGUUCAGAGCCUUUUUGGGUUUUUGGAGGGUCGUUGACUCUGUUCCGACCUAUGACUGGCAUCCGAGAAGCGAGAAUGAAAAACUUACAACUAAAAAAUCUCUUAAUUGCAGAUUUUAGGCUUGCUCUUAGGUGAGCUCUGCAGGCAGAGUCAUCGGUACUGUAUGGCCAAGUACGCGGUACUGGACCUGGUACCAGUAACAUCGCGAGGGUCCGGUACCCUGUGUGUUUGCUCGCUUACCCAGGACUCGGGUUUGCGUAUGCUGGCUGCCUAGUACGUAACUCCAGCCCUCGUACGGUACGCAGUGCAGUUCCCGCAGACUGCAGAUUUUUGAGGUCUCUUUGAUAAGAUUGUUCCCAAAUUAUAAAUACCCCAACACCCUUUGGCUGGGGUCUUUUGGUGCUGCAAACCAGAGAAGGAGGAGAGCGUAGGUUAAUCUUAUUUCCUGCCUUUUUCCUUACUUUUCUUGAGAUUUGAGAUUGAUGCUCUGCCUUUUUAAGNNNNNNNNNNNNNNNNNNNNNNNNNNNNNNNNNNNNNNNNNNNNNNNNNNNNNNNNNNNNNNNNNNNNNNNNNNNNNNNNNNNNNNNNNNNNNNNNNNNNUACUAUCGAUAGCACCAAGAAUUUGGUGCUAUCGAGUUUUCCAAUGUUAGAUUUAACCUUUUGAUUCCAGCCUAGUUCUAUAUAUAUAUAUAUAUAGUGCAGCUACUAUACUCUUAUGAGUAUAGUAGUUAUUGUACUCAUAACUUUUUAGCUAUCAGAUUUACUUUAAGAUCUGUGCAGAUCUGAUGACUAAUUUAUUCCAAUUAAUCUCAGAUAAUUAACUCUUCCACUCUAAUUAACUCUCCCAAUUAACUCUCCCAAUUAACUUCUCUGGUUAAUUGUCAAUUAAUCCUCGUACAGCACCCCUUCUCGUCAUCUUCCUCCGGCAGCAGCACCCACCUCGACCACUGUCGCCACUCCAAACCCCGAGGGUGGCGACCCAUGCAUGAGGCAACAUUGGUGAUCGGGGCCGCUGUUCCCGACAGAGGCAGAGACGAAGAACGGGUUUCUCAGCAACGGAGAAGGCGUCCACGACGAUGGUGUCGAGUUGGUAAGGCACGAUGAUGCUACCAGCCGUGAGGGAGACGAUGUCGACCUGCCGACCACAGCGAUGUCGAAUGUGAUGAGGAUGUUGGAGUCGAAGCACCCUCGGCCCCAUCCCAGAGGCAAGGGGUAGUUGGGGGAGAGAGGGAGGUGGUAGUGGUGGGUGACGGCAAGAGGGAAGGAGGAGGAGGAGGGUGCUGUACAAUAAUUAAUUUGGGAUUUGGGACAGAGAAAUUAACUAUAAUGAAUUAGUCAUCAGAUCUGCAUGAAUCAAGAUCUGAUGGUUAAAAAGUUAUGAGUACAACAGCUACUAUACUCAUAAGAGUAUAGUAGCUGCANACGUCGUUCGAUUUUGACCGUUGAUUUUAUAUCGCUUGAUGAACUUUAUUAUGAUUUCGAAAAAUUACGAAAUUUAUUUUCUAGAAGUUUCAAAUACUGUAACAUAUUGCAUCCCCUUGAGUUGUGCCGAGCUUCCAUCGAAACGAGCGGAGCGUGGUGUCGGACGAGUUGGAAUGGUCCACAAUGGGUUCUAAGUGUUUUGGAGCCAUUGUAUAAGGUGUUUGGACCUAAGAGAGCAAAGGCUGGAAUUUUGGCUAAGUACCGAAAUUGGUGCUCUCGGGGUCCGGACCCUGUGCAGGUUCUGGACCCCGUAAGCGAAAAUGGCCUAGUACGGGCAGCCAUGAAUUGGUGAAAUUAGAGGGGGUUAUGUGACAUUGUUGCAUGAUGGGUGUUUAUGUGUAUGAGGCUUAGUGUUUAGCCCUAUUUACUCUCACACCAACCACCAUUAGGGCUCCCUCUCUCUUUCUAAAAACCCUCUCCUCUCUCUUCCUCUCUCUCUAGAGCUUGGACAAAGGAGGGCCUUGAAGGAGUUUGGGUGGAGAAGAAGGCAAAGUUGAAGGUGGUGCUUGGUAUUGUGCAAGUGUGCAAGGGAAAGCUUGAACCAAAGAUGAGUUUCCAUGGUUUUAAGCUAGGGUUUGUUGAUUUUCCUUCUAGUAUGAGUUCUAGGAGAUGUAUUAGUGGAUUUGCCUCAUGUUUCUUCAUUACUAGGGGUGUAUUUAGAGAAGAUGACAUUGUUGAGGGGCUUAUCUUAGGGUAUGGUUCAAAUGAGAUUCAAAUGAGGGAUUGAUCUCUUAUUACCCUAAUUGAUAGGUUUUCUGACGCGUUGGUGAGCUCAGUUUGGCGAUCUGACGAGCGUACGCGGAGAUAUUGGCAAAAAAGCCUAUUUCGGCUUCGUUUCGUCGUAGCGAGCGGCGUAGGCUCCUAAAAAUCGCAAUAAUUGAACCGUAGUACCUCGGCAUUCCUACAAGGUGGGGGGUGCUAUCCGGAAUCUCUGAAUUCCCUUCUAUGUCUAUGUUGCCUUUUUAUUGAGCAUAUAUGCAAUAUGUCGCAGAUUCAUAGCCGCAUGAUGGAGGGCGUAGGUCUUGACAUGGUGGUUAUAUGUUUGACGAUUACAAUUGUAUGUCUUCUAAUGUAGAUGAACAUAGUAGAUCAUGAUAUAGAAACCAAUAUGAAGCACGUGUAUAUAUGGAACUUGAUACUUGUGGUGAUGAAGCGAGAUUAUAGACUAUGAAUAAUAGGUAAAUAGAGGGUGACAUUCGACGGAUUAAUGGACUGAGCAUUGGCAUCGAGAUCUGUGAUAUGCUAGACAGGUAACCUUCUAGAUCGGCAUUAUGGGCAAGUGAAGUGCCAAGUGUGAGAUUGUUAAAACAAGGUAAAGAAACUUAUUGUGGCCCAGUUGUGACACUCAGAGGCAACGUGUGGCGCUGGGUAUUGCUUACUAUUGUGGGGCAUAAGACAGGUUGCCUAUACGUGCCCUAAAUCGGAAUAUGGAAGUUCUGAUAUCCACUUGAGUCUUGGCUUGAGGGAGGUAGGCUCCAGGCGCGCUUCGAGGCAAGUUAGCGCUCCAAAUUGGGCGCACCACUCGGCGAAGGUAAAGUCGGAGUCGCAGAAAGACGGUCGCCUCGGGCCGUAGUAAAGUCAGCCGCGGCGCGCACCCCCGAAUAGAUAGGAGGAUUUUGGUUGUCGAUUUUGAUGGUUACACAAGUGUUAACCGGUAUGGGAGUAUUGGGUAAGAGCGAAGCGAGAAAAGAAAGCAUAGCAUGCAUUUAUCAAUACAUAGAUAUAUCUAUCUGUUGAUCAAGAUUUUUCUUGCAGGGCAUAGUAAUAGCAAUAUGUAGUGGGUGGAUUGCUAUUUCCUAAUCCUCUCAUAUACUCUAUCGCCCUGAAUAGACCUAGUCGGGGAAAAAUCAGCAGGGUCGGCUGCAAAGCCACUGGAAAACUUCUUUAUAGUUCACACACACUACCUGCAGGAUGCUAAUGCGCGAGAGGCGAGGCAGGCAGGAGGAUACCGGGCAAGGUUUAGCGCCGUAGCUAGCGGCCACGCAGAGUUAUAGGUCAUCCUUUGUUUAUCGUUUCAACUUUUAUUUUGUGUGAACAAGUGAUGUAAAGCGAGAGAUGUAUAGGAAUCGCAUGUUUUUGGGUUGGAUGACUAUGUGAUGUAAAUGAUGUAUGAGAAAAGGACAAAGAAUGAGUGUAAUAGCUCUAGUUUACUUGUAAUUUGGUGUUAAAAUAUAAUCAAAUAUCAUGUAUGGGGUUGUAUUGUAGUAGCUAGAGCUUUCACGACUUGUUGCUUGCUUGGCGCCUCGGAGCUAAGAGCAACCUUGUAUAAUGGAAAUUUCUUUGUUAUGAUUUGCUGAUUAUCUAGCUUGGUUGUUGGAGUUUUUUUGGAGGACAGGGAGUACUGUCCGUGUCGAUCAUGCUGUAUUGACGGUGCUCUGAAUCGCGACCAAAUAGGCGGAACGCUCUAGGGCGUGGACAAAUACUCUACGAUACAUAUUUAACGGCGGAGUGGAUCCGUCGAUUCGGAAUGCUUCCAUCAUUGAAGACAACUUAAUGAGUAUGAAGGGCUCUAUACUGCAGUACACUACCAACAAAAAUAGUUAUACGCGACACUUUUAAAAUGUCGGUACAAGGUUCAAAAACGUGUGGCUGGCUAAAUUACCGAUCACUUUUACAAGGUAUUGCCUAUAAUGUGCGGGUCGCAGGUUAUAUAGUGACAGUUAAGAGAGUAUCGCAUAACCUAAAAAGAGUUGCUGGGAUAGAUUUACACAAUCACUUAUUAAGCAUUUUUGCAAUACGGCUCGGAGACUCUAACUCGCUUAGCUGGCGGUGGCAGGAGGAGGAAAGGGAAUACUCUUCGUGCUAGGAUAUUCAGUGGAUUGAGUGAGGAGGAAAGAGGACGAAUGGUCAAUCGAUUUUUUUUUUUUUCGCUUAUUCUGGUUUCUAUUUGUUAUACGGGACCAAUGGGACUGAUGGCGCUGGGUUAAGUGAGGUAACACUUUUAAUUUGGUUGGAUUGACGGCUUUAUAGUUUUAGCAUUAGUGAGAUUUUUUUAAAGUUUUGGUAUAUUUUAUGGGACACCAUUACACAAAAUGCUCCUAUAACGCUAAUUCUGUGUACGGUGACAAGAGUAUAAAGUAGCCAUACCUCAAUAUAUAAUAUAUAUAAUAUAUAUUAUACUAUAAUAUAUAUAUAUAAGAGAGAAGAGAGAGCAGAGAGAGAGAGAGAGAACGAGAGAGAGAGAGAGAGUUUCGGAUCUACUAUGCUAUUAAUAAGGCACCAAGCAGCGUUGGGUACUACCAAGUUUUGCCUGCUGUUAGAAUCUACGCUUGUGAUCAUUUUCAACAUACCGUUAGACUCAUUACUAUUCACCAACCGACACCCACCUCAACCCCUAGGGGGUCUAGUAAUGCCAUCCUUAACCGCGCAGUCUCAUUAAUCUAAUGGCGAAGAAACUUGAUAGCACCAAUGACUUGGUGGGGGCUAUUAAUAGUAUUUAGCCCUCAGUUCUACUCGUACACUCUCUCGUCUCUCUCUCCUCUCUUUCUCUCUUCUCUUCUGCUCAUCAGGCUCUCUCUCUCUCUCUCUAUAUAUAAUAAUAUACUAUAUAUACUAAUAUAUAUAUAAGUAUAAGGAGUUGAGCUAGAUAUACUAUCGGUUAGUAACACGGACUCUCCGUUGCACCCCCCUGUUUGUUUCGAUUAUGGACGCUUGCCAAUCGACGAUCGCUACCGUUAAAUGUAUACUUAAGUGCCGAUCGUCAGAUUUGGAAGCUCCAUAAUCGAAAACAAAAAGGUGCAACGGAGUCCUUUACUACCGAUAGAUUCCUAGCUCACAUCUAUUUAUCUAUAAUAUAAUAUAAUAUAAAAUAGAGGAGAGAGAAGGAGAGAGAGAUGAGAGAGAGAGAGAGAGAAUACUAAGCUAAUAUACUAUAAUACACUCAAGUCAUUGGACCUGAGUUUGGCCAUUAGAUUAAAAAUGUGCUACGGUAUAUAUAACCGCCCCUAGGGUGAGUGGUGUGUUGAAAUAGUUGCAUCAACGGGUGAAAAUUGAUCAAAAGGUAAUCAACAAGUGACAACUUGUAAACCAAGUGCUUCGUGCUAUUAAUAGCAUGUAAGAUCGGACUCUCAUCUCUCUUCCUCUCUUCUCUUCCUCUCUCUCUACCUCUCCUCUCUCUACUUACUAUAAUAUAUAUAUGAUUAUAUAAAUAUAAUAUAUAAAUAAAUAUAGGCUUGAGCUACUAUACUCUAUCACUACAACAAGAAUAUGGUGAUUAUAUCGGACAACUCUUUGUUAAGUGUCCCAUUUACACCCAAAACCUUAAAAAAAAAAUCCUACUAAUGCUCCUAGAUACUAAAAGCCCAAUCCAAACCAAAAUAAAGCAGUUACCUCUACUCUAAACACACCCCAUCCUGCAGUCCAUUGUGUCCCAAAUUACAAAGAAAGAAAAAAAAAAUCGAAUUACCAUCUCCUCUUUCCCGCUCACUCCCAAAAUCCACUGAAUUCCUAGACAAGAUUCAUUCCUUUCCGUCCUUCUGCCAUCCGCAGCUAACGAGUUCAGAGUUCCGUGCGAUUGCUAAAGCUUAAAUAAUAUUGGUAAAUUAUGCUACCACUCGUUUUAGGUUAUAGCGAUACUCUUUAACUGUCACUAUAUUACCUACGCAACCCCACAUAUUAGCAAUACCUUUUAAAGUGUCGGUAAUUUAGCCAGCACACUUUUUUGACCUGAGUUCCUACAUUUAAAAAGUCGCUAUAAACGUAUUUUGUGUAGGUAGAUAUAAGCCUUCAUACUCAUAAUUGUUUUGCAAUGUGCGAUGCUUCCGAAUCACAUCCACUCCGAUUAAUAUGAUCUAGGUAUUUGUCACGCCCUGAGUCUCCGCUAUUUGUCAGAUUCGAAGCACUCAAAAGAUUCAACGACAGUACCUCCGCCUCUCCUCAAGGCUCCAACAAGCAGUAAUAUCAAAGCAAUCUAAACAAAAUUCCCAUUGAUACAAAGCGCUGCUCUGAAGGCAAGCACAACAAGAUAGUAUAACUCUAAGCUACUACAUACAACCCUACAUACAAUAUUAGAUUAUAUUUAACACAAAUAACAAUAAAUCUAGAAGCUAUUACUCAUUCUUUACUUUUCUCAGUACAUUAUUUAACUCAAUAUCAUAAUCCAACCCAAAAUAUCAUGAUCGUAUAGAUCUCUACAUCACUUGUUCACAAAAUAAAGUUGAAACAUAAAGCAAAAGAAGACUAUAACUGCUGGUGUCCCUACUACUGGCGCUAACCACACUUGCCCGGUAUCCUGCCUCGCCUCACUCGCGCAUGAUUCUGCAGGAUUAGUGGUGUGAGAAACUAAAAAAUUUUCAGUGGGUUGCAGCGACCCUCUGUGAUUUCCACGUAGAUCUAUUAGGCAUAAGUACAUGAGAGCGAAGCAAAUAUACAAACCACACUAUAUUGGCUAUAUACUAUGCCCUGCAAGAAAAACGAACGUCGCAACUUAAGAAGAUAAUCAUAAUGUAUUGAAAAGCAUGCAUUGCUUUCUUCUCCUUGGCUUUUACCCAAUCAUACCGGUUAACACUUGUAUAACCCCAACUCACAAAAAAAUCCCUAUCAUUCGGAGAUCUUUUACCACGCCCGAGUGACGCUGUCUCUGCGGACUUUACUGCCAGUGGAUGACAACUUUGGAGCACAUGCAUCGAGGGGGACUACUCCCUCAAUGCCAAGACAUCAAGAUGAGUAUCGAUUCAAUUCCCGAUUUAGGGACUAUAGCAAGCCUGUUCUUAUCACAAAUAGUACCAAUACAAGGCACACACUUGCCUCGAUGCACCAAUGCCACAAUAAUUUCCUUUACUUGUUUACAAUCUCACACUGACCUCAUUGGACCUAAUGCACAAAAGGUACUUGUCUAACAUAUCACAAUCUCGGAGCCAAUCUCUGCAAUUAAUGUCAAUGUCACCCUAUUUACUAUUUCAUAGUCUAAUAUCUCUGCAUUCACACAAGUAUAAGGUUCCCAAUAUUACACAGUCUCAUUAUGGUUCAGUAUCAAUUAUCUAUGUGCUCUACAUUAGUAAGCAACAAUUGAAUCUCAACUAAUAACCACAUGUCAACACCCUAUCAUCAUGAAUGCACUAUCAAUUUCAAUAAAAAGCAAGCAUUACAUAGAAAGGAAUUCAGAGAUUCCGGAUAGUCACCCACCACUUAGGAAUGCCGAGGCUCUAGGUUCAAUAGCCGAUUUUUAGGAGCCUACGCCGCCGCUACGACGAAACGAAGCCGAAAUAGCUUUGUUUGCAAAUACUCCCGAUACGCUCGUCAGAUUCGCCAAACUCAGAUCACCAACGGUCAGAAAACCUAUCAAUUAGAGUAAUAACAGAUCAAUCCCUCAUUGACAAUCCAUUUGAACCAUACCUAAGAUAAGCCCCAACAAUGUCAUUCUUCAUCUAAAUACCCCUAUAAUGAAGAAACAUGACGGCAAAAUCCACUAAUAAUCUCCUAGAAACUCCAUACUAGAAGGAAUCAAACAAACACUAGCUUAAACCAUGGAAACUCUCUUUGUUCAAGUUUCCUUUGCACACUUGCACAAUACAAGCACACCUUUCAACUUAGCGCUUCUCUCCACCAAACUCCUCAAGGCCCUCCUUUGUCACAGUAGCUCAUAGAGAGAGAGGAAAGAGAGAGGAAGGUUUUUAGAAGAGAGAGGGAGCCCUAAUGUGGGUUUGUGUGAAGUAAAUAGGGCUAAACAAACUAAGCUCAUACACAAUUUCAAACACCCAUCAUGCAACAAUGUCACCAUAACCCCCUCUAAUUCACCAAACUCAAUCCGCUGCCCGACAGCCAAAUUUUCGCUAACGGGCGUCAGAACCUGCACAGCGUCCGGACCCCAGAGCACCAAUUCAGGUAUACUUAGCCCAAAUCCAGCCUUUGCUCUCUUAGGUCAACAACCUUAUACAUGCUUCCAAACACUUAGAACCAUUGUAGGAACCAUUCCAUACCGUCCGAGCAGCCACCUCGCCGUAUUCGAUGAAGCUCGGCCAAACCAGGAGAUCGAUAUGGUACGAUUUUGAUAACUUCAGAAAUAAAUUAGCGUAAUUUUUCGAAAUCAUAAUAAAGUUCAUCAGUCCGAUAAAAUCAACGAGUCAAAAUCGAAAGACUCUUACAAAUGAUCGACUCGAUCCUUCAAUUUAAGAUCGAGAUUAUGAUCUCUAUCUACGUAGUGAAUAAAUUUUGCUAUCAAAAAUAUCAAACCGAAUUUCGAUUUCUUUGCACCGUUUACACUAUCAAAUAUCUACUCCGACCUUAAAUAAUUGUCAAUUUUGAUGAGGUUUUGAUCGUAAGGUAAAUAGAGUUCAAACAAUUAUAAAAAUUGUAUUUCUAGACUUUUUAAAUCUCUAUAUAAUGUUAACAGUGUGAUCGUUCGAUUCGCGAGCUCUAUUAUUUGAAAUAACUUAUGAGUACGAGGUAAUCAAGCUCAUAAAGUAUAUAGCCGCUCUCUUCCUCUCGUCGUUCUCCUUCUCUGCCAUCUCUCAUAUAUAUAUAUAUAUAUAUAUUAUAUAAUAUAAUAUAUAUAAUAUAUCAAUAAUACUCUAUGCUUUUAAAAGUACAAGGUUAUAUCGCGCUGUAGAUUUUAGCGCAUUGGAUUAAGAGAUUCGGUAAAGAUGAUGUGGCCCCCUAGUGUGAAUGUAUACAUCUAAUGGGAAAAUAAUCGAGUAGUAAUUAAUAACGGUAAAAAACUUACAGCCCAAGUGUUGCUUUUACAACACCAUAAGCUGGACCUCUCCUCUCUCUCUCUCUCUCAUCUAAAUAUAUUUAUAUAUAUACUUUUUAGAGAUAUUAUCCCCUGGUGCCUCAUAUGUAUUCUACCAUUGCGAAUUUACUCUUUGAUACAAUACCCUUGGAUCAAACACUAUUAACCCCUUACCAACUACCUACCACAUCAUCCCAACCUUACAUUCUCCACCAUAAGAUUAAUAACUCAAAGCCAUCCAUUCUCUGGUGCUUUUGAAGUUAUUUAGCUCAACUUAUAUAAUAUAAUAAUAUUAAUAUAUAUAUAAUAUAUAUAUAGAUAUUAACUAUAUAUAUAUAAUGUUCAACUACGAUUCUCUUAUGAGGAUAGUAGUGUUUUAGCUCAUACUUUUUAACCAUCGAAUCUUGAUUCGUGCAGUCUGGAUGACUACAUUCAUUAACGUAAUUUCUCUGUCAAAAUCCCAAAUUAAUAUGUAGACAGCACCCUCCUCGUCUCUCCUUCCUCUUCCGUCGCCACCACUAUCCUCACCAUCCCUCUCUACCCUCCCAACUACCCUGCCUCGCAGGGCGAGGUGCUUCAACUCCACAUCCUCAUCUCACAUUCGACAUCGCUGUGGUCGCAGGUCGACAUCUCUCCUCACGGCCAAAAAAAAGUACAUCACGGUGCCUUUCCAACUCGACAUCCCAUCGUCUGGAUGACUUCUCGUUGCUGAGAAAACCGUUCUUCUCGUCUACCUUAUUCGAACAGCCGCCCCGAUCACCAAGUUCCUCAUGCAGAGGUCGCCACCUCGCGGUUUGGAGUGCGACAGUGUCGAGUGGGUGCUGCCAGUCACAGGAAGGCAAAAUGAAUGAAGCGGGUGCUGUACGAGGAUUAAUUGACAAUUAACAAGAAUCAUGGGAAGUAAUGGAGAGUUACAUUAGAGUGGAAAGUUAAUUAUCUGAGAUUAAUUGAAAAUAGUUUACAUCAAUCUGCCACAGAUACUAAUAGUAAAUCUGAUUACUAGUAAAAUUAUGAAGUUACAAAAGCUACUAAAUCCGAUAAGAGAUAUAGUAGCUCACUAGAUAUAUAUAUAUAUAUAUAUAUAUAUAUAAUAUAUAUAUAGACGGCAGCUGGAAUCAAAAGGUUAAAUCUCAACCAUUGGACUAAACUCGAUAGCACAAAUUCUUUGGGCUAUCCGAUGUAUCACAGGCAGACUAAUAUAUAUAUAUUAUAUAUAUAUAUCUAUGGCCAUUGGCUAACUAUAACUAUUAUGAGUGAGAGCCCUCGACUCAAAAGUUUGUUUUUAAAUGAUGAGCUUACGAAUCAAGAUCCACUCCGUUAAAUAUGAUCUAGAGUAUGUUGAACUGUCUUAGAAAAUAAUUUCGGUAAUUUUUGAAUCAUAAUAAAGUCCAUUAAGUGGAAUAAAUCAUGACGUCAAAAUCGAACGAACGUCCCUAAAAAGGGAUGAUCGAUCCUUCAAUGCAGAUCGGAGUUAUGAUGCUUUAUCUAUGUAGUGAAUAGAAUUUUCUAUUCAAAAUUCAACAAAUUUCGAUUUUUACACCGUUAAACUAGCAAUAUCCCAUUACCGGCCCUAAAAAUGUCAAAUUUGUGGACUCGCUCUUGAUCGUAAGCUCAAAUGAGUCAAAAUUAUAAAAUUUGAAUUUCUAGAAGUUUAAAUCCUGGAAUAACUUAAGCUGUGUAGAUCUGUCCGAUUCAGCCAUCUAUCAUGAAAAACAACUUAAUGAGUACAAGGACGAUCUACUAAUAAUAGAUAGUGAGCUGACCAUAUUAAUAUAUUAUAUAGAACGAAGAAGAUGAGAGUUCGACUACUAUACUCUUAUACUAUAACCCUUUUAUAAAUCACGAGUUAAUUUAUCCUAUGACUAUUUCACACGUUAGUCAAACUAUUCAACAAUCCUACCUCAACUCAUAGUGGACCAUUAUCAUCCUAACCGGAACACUAUACAUCCUUAACACACAUUCUUCAUGCCACAACGCGAAAAACUUAGAAUACAAAGUGGAUCUUAUGCUCAUAAAAUAUAGUCAUACCUAGCAUAUAUAAUAUAUAAUAAUAUUAUAUUAUAUAUAUUAUUAAUAUAUAUAUAUACUAUUAUAAUAAUAUAUCGAGAGAGAUAUAUCGCGAGAGAGAGAAGAGAGAGAGAGAGCUCAAGUGAGCUGGUAUGUUGUUUGAAGCACGGAAACCACUCCGUUCUUCCAAGACGUUUCGAUAUUGAGGACUUUCGAAUCGACGAUAGCUGCCAUUAAGUCUUGAUCUAGAGUAUUAAAAUCCAAAAUAAUUUUGUGAUUUUCAUAUCAUUUGCUAAUGACGAAGGCUCAAAAUCAAUAAUUUAAUGUCGUGAUAAGCCUGUUUUGCAAGAUAAACGGUAUAAAUAUUCAAUCACGUAAAUUUAUAUAUAUCAGGCUAGGCUACUAUACCUUAUGAUAUACAUCCCUCUUGUACUUAUAAUUUCGACCAUUUGAUGAAAAAUGCGGUUAGGAUAAUAGUAGUCCGCAUAGGGUGAGUGGUAUUGGUUGAUAGUAUGACUCAACGGAUAAAAUGAUCAAAGAAGUAGAUCUAAUGCCAAAAAGUUAUGAUACAAAAGCGCUAUACUCAUAAGAGUAUAGUAGCCGAACUCUCUCUAUUCUAUAACUAUAUAAUAGAUAAGACCGGAAUACUAUACAGUUAUGAGUAUGAUCGCUUGUACUCGGUAAGUUGUUCGGAUAAUCAAGUUUCCAAAUCAUUAAUCCAAUUGCCGCAAAUAUAUUUAAAAUAUUUUUACGCCGUAUAAUAACUGUCGAGUUUAACCGCAUAAAAAGAUCAAAAUCGGUUGAAUUUUAAUAAAAAAAAUUUAUCACUAUUCUAGAUAAAGACAAUAACUCCAAUAUAUAUAUUAAAGUAUCCGACAUCUAUUUUGAGACAUGUUCGAUUUACCGUUCAUUUAAUGCCCAUUGAUGACUAUAUUUUAUAUUAUAAAAAUUACUAAAUUUAUUUUCUAAAAUUUUUAAAUACUAUAGAUCAUAUUUGAUCAGUGUGGAUCAUCGAAUAGAAGCUUCGAUAAUAAAAAUACUAUGAUUAAAAGGCCUUUAUACUAUAAAAGUAUAUAGCCCUACUAAUAUGCGUGUAGUGUAUGGCAAAUUACCAUAAAACUCCCUGAUCAAAUCCAUUUUUCACAUUUUUUUCCUGUCAUUUAAAAACAUACACUUUGCCCUCCCUUAUAAGACAUAAAAAAUGGUCAAGGUGUACGUGUAACUUGAUGACAAAUGACCAUUUUGCCCCUCACGCAUUUUUGGCAACAGAAGAAACUGAGGCAUUUUUUGGCAAAAAAUAUAUAAAAUAGUUAUAAUAUGGAAACCCUAACGAUUACUAACGCAAGGGUGAAUGAAUAUAUUUUAUUUAAAGGGGCAAAGUCUAGUUUAUUAAUGAAAAGAAGAAAAGUGAAAAUCGUUUUGACUGUGAGUUUGUAAUAUUAUCCUAUAUAUAUAUAUAAUAUAUUAUAAAAAGAGAUAGAGAGAGAAGACAGAGAGAAGAGCAGAAGAGUAGAUAAAGAAAAGAGAGUUGAGCUAGAAUACUAUCGAUAUGCAACGGCUUCGUUGCAAUCCCAUUUUUGUUUUCGAUGAGGAUCUCCAAACAGCAAAUGGCAUCAUUGAACUGAUCUAAUAUCACUUGAAUAUUAGAAAUCAAUUUUCAUAGCAUUUCCGAUAUUCGUUCUCUAUCACAUCGAGUGGAACAAAAAUCAUAUUUUAAAAAAAAAAAAUGAUAGACUCAAUAUGUAAUCAAGAUCAAGAGUAUAACUUUUAACUAGUUUAAAGAAUUUUCUAAUAAAACAAUUGAAUUUGAGAUACUCAUUAUGCCGUUAAACGAAAAACGCCUCCAUAUCACUAUUAAAAUUACAAAAUGAAACCCUUGAUCAUUAGCAACCUGAGCACCGAAAAGAUUUAAAAUUUGAUUUCUAAAACACUGUCACUGAUAUAGAUCAUAUUCCAAACCGGUCCGAUCUCGAUUGGAGGCUCUAUCAUCGAAAACAUAUAUAUACAUAUAUAUAAUAUUAUAUAUAUAACAUAUAUACAUAUUUAACAUAUAACAUCAUAUACAAUAUGUUAUAUACAUAUAUCCAUAUAUACAUAUACAUAAUACAUAUAUAUAAUAUAUUAAGUACAUUAUACACAAUUCAUAUAUACAUAAUACACAUAUAUUAUACGAUAUAUAUAUAUUGUUAUAUAUAAUAUAUAAUGUUUAUAAUUAUAUAUAUUAUAUAUAUAAUUCUGUGUAUAUAUAUAUAUAGUAUCAUAUAAUAUAUAUUAUAUAUAUAUAAUGUAUAGUAUAAUAUAUAUACUCUAUAUAUAUUAAUAUGUAUAUAUAAUAUAUUAUAUAUAUACAUAUAUAUACAUAUAUACAUAUAUAUAUAUAAUUUGUAUAAUUAUAUUGUAUACUACAUAUAUACAUAUACAAUAUAAUAUAUUAUACAUAUAUACAUAUAUAUUACAUAUAUACAUAUAUAUUUACAUAUAAUAGACUUAAUGUAUAUGAUAUACACAUAUCUAUAUAUAUAUAGUAUAAAUNNNNNNNNNNNNNNNNNNNNNNNNNAUCUAUACCACUUGAAGUAUCUAGAACUCAAAUUUCAUACUUUUUCGAUAUUGUUCUCUUAUCCAUCAAGUGGGCGUAAAAAUGAACGGUUGAAAAUGAAUAUCCUCUCAAAAGUGAUGAUAGAAAUUUUACAAUCAUGAUCGAGAGUAUAGAUCUUGUUCUAAAUAAUUUAAAGAAUUUUUUAACCAAAAUUCAAUUAAUUUGAAUAGCUUUACACCGUUAAACGUGAAAACACCUCAUAUCUACCACUAAAAUUACAAAAUUUGAAAUCUUUUGAUCAUUAGGUCAAUGAUAUCGAAAAGAUUUAAAAUUUAGUUUCUAGAUACUUCAAGUGGUAAAGAUCAUGUUCAACGGUGCCGAUUGUCGAUUUGGAAGCUCCAUCAUCGAAAACAAAUGGGUGGCAACGGAGCCCGUUUGCUACCGAUAGUAUUCUAGCUCAACUCUAUAUAUAUAUAUAUAUACACAUACAUACAUACAUACAUACAUAUAUACAUACAUACAUACAUACAUAUUAGGCUCCUAUAAUAUCUUUGGUGUCACGCCUCGGAUUACCAUAUUUCCCCAGGCAUGCCAACAGACCCGCCGUACAUAUAGAAAUUUUCCGUGUAUACGAAGCGAUAGCUGUACCUGUAAGCAAGUUAUAGUUACAACCAAGAGUAUAGAGCUGCUAGAACUAAAACAUAUAUAAAACUUAAAGGGUUCACUAUACAUACAAAAGUCCACAAUAACAUCUCGCUCCAGCGAGUAAACAAAACACAGAGUAUAUACAUGAAAUAGCCCACUACCUCUGACGGGUACUCCGCUAGCAUGACGACCACGGGUGACAAGGCGCGACUUCCUUGCCUCGGUCGGAAACCACAAUGGCAGCAGCCGCAGACGAAAACUCUAUAAAAAUGUGUCAACAACUGGGUGUGAGAACUACUACAAAACAGAGUAGCCCUUAGUGGGUACUGUCACCGACCUCAACGACCUACCCAUUAAGUCUACAGUAAUGAUAUGCAAUGGAUAGUAAGGAAAGCUGGAAAGGACUCUAUAGCUACAUGUCUCUAUCCUAUCGCUACCAAAACAAACUAUCUGUAGACAUAAACAUGCAUCACUAUCUACCACUGACCCAAUCUCACACGGGCUGCCCAAGUGGACCCACCCUGCCUGUAACCAAGCUACACCGUACACCACCAACGGGGAUGGCCGGUCUAAGUAAACGGUCCAAAACAGGACGACUGGGACAUCAAUGCAAGUCAAACCUCACUAUGGAUGCAGAAAUGCAUCACUAGCUACUACUGACCAAACCUCGAGGGACUACCAAUUGGCCCGUCCAGCCUGUACCCGAGCUACACCGCACACCACCCAUGAGGGUGGCCGGUCAAAAAACUGCCCAAACGGAACUACUGCGACACCAACGCAAGUAAAGCCUCACUUCGGAGCGGCACUCAUGGGAGCGACCCAACCGAGUAUGCAAGCGUGUCUCUGCCGAGCUCAAUCAGGCUCACACAGGCUAUAAUUAAUGCAAAUGGGUUAAACUGGUCUAACAACCAAAGCUCAUGUGCCUUUGGCAUAAUCUGAUAUAAGAUACAGAUAUCUGGGUCCACUGUCGACCACGAUGGCACCCGACAGUACAGAACAGUCUACACUCUACUGUAAAACGAGCUCGGCCCCUCAGCACGAGCGUAAACUCACCCUACACUAAUCUGAGUAUCCAAUACGCACUAACAGUAGGGAUACAAAAGAAUAAUAGAUCCUGAAGCUAAAUCUGGUAACUUUUCAGAAAAUGACAGUAUAGGUUUAACGAGUUUUCUCCUAAGUCAAAUCCCAGUUCAAUAUGUAUAAUUUUAUCUAACAUCACUAAACUAUGCUCCAAAUUCAGAUUUAAAUAAAAACAUGCAAAUCGAUGAAUUUGAACUACUAACAUGAUGAACAAAGCCAAUAAUACAUACCGAUAAUUCUAUGACUUAGAAAGAAAUCUGAUGAUUUUGGUAAACAUUAACCCACGUCGAAAGCUUGCCCAACGUUGGUUAGAAGUCGACAGGAGGAAUCCCACGCGCUCACUCGACCUCCAAGACGACAAGAAGAAACAUCAGCUUAUUCCUCAAAUUCCCAACAAGAUGAGGGAAGAAGCUAGAGAGAGAGAGAGGAGAAGCAUACUGGUUCUCCAAGCUUCUCAGGCAGAUAAAUAGGCUAGGGGUGGUUGGCGAUACAAUCGACAACCAAAAAGACCAAAAUACCCCUUACCAACUCACUUCUGCCUCUGGGGUACCGGUACUCGGCCCUCUUUCCGCAACAUCGCGCGCUGGGUACCAGUACCAGCCCGAUGCAGUACCGGUACUCGAGCUCGGUACCAGUACUCAACAACGGGUGCUGUUACUCAGCAUCAGACAUGCACAAACCCGAGGGCAUCUAGUUCAAAAAUCCCUCUGGGGUACCGUUACUCAACACUGGAAUCCUGCACUUUGCAGAUUUCAGUGUCAGAACUCCACUCUCGCACUGCGCUGAGCCCGUUUUGCGUCCAUUUCGCGCCAAAACAAUUCCGACUUGUCUCGACACCCACCAGACGUGCCGACAAGCCAUAGAUGCUGAAGUCUCUCAGACCGCUAAUUCCAGGGACACUACAUAUAGUAUCGGGGCUUCGGUAUUAUAGUCUCGCUUUCGAUCUUUGGGUAUUCAAAUCAACAAUCCGCACCGUUAAAAUUGAUUUAGGGUAUUUGAAAUUUCUAAGAAUAAAUUUUUACAUUUUUCAAUGGCUAUUAUGGCGAGUUUGUAGUUUAAUGGUGUAAAAGAAUCUAAAUUUAUUCAAAUUUUAAUAAAAAAAUAUUUUAAACUUUCUAGAUCAAGGGUUGGCAUCCUUGAUCUUGUAUUCAAAAGUCUUAUCAUCAAAUUUUAAAGAUUGUUUAAUUUUCACCGUUCAUUUUGACAUGAUUUACUUACUAAGUAAACAAUGUCGAAAAAAAAUUAAAAUUUUAUUCCUAAGAACUUCAUAUACCCUUGAUCAUACUAUAGUAUUGGAGCUUCAGAACUAUAGAUAAUAUAGUAGCUUCGUUCUAUAUAUAUUUAGGGUUUAGGGUAGAAUUGUGCUCCUAUACUUUUAAAAGUACCAAAUCAUUAGUGCUUGUCGGUUUUUGGCCUUUGAAUUAAGGGAUGUGCGAUUUGGAUGAUAGCGGUCCCCCAGGGUUGAGUGGAUGGUAAAUUCAACGGAUUGAGGGCCUUACGCGCAAUUUAGUAUUGUAUAUAUAUGUUGAAUCUAGGGUUUUCUACUUUCUCAACCCUAACCCUAGCUUCAACUUCCUCCCAAUUGAGCCCAGCCGUCUUCUCUACUUGAGAAGUGCACCAUGCACUUCCCGGCCUCCGACGACCGAGAUCUGGUCGGCCAAUCGCCACCAGCUUCUUCAUCUCCUUUCUCUCCUUCACCACCAUAACCACCUCCUCUCCUUCUCUGCCGAGGAUAAGGCUGGGCUCACCCUCGCCUCGGGCUCCCCCUCCGGCGCCGUCCUCAACCCCUGGAGAGCCCCUCCUGCCGGCCGCAGUUGCCCUCGAGCGCCACCAUCGCGGCUGCUGUUGUUUGGAGCCACCUAAGGCACGUGUGGUCGUGCCGUACUAUGCUGCCGCUGCUAGCAUCCGCCGUCUCCUCCUAUUCCUCUCGGUCCUAGUGGAGGUCUGCGAUCUUCCCCGACCGUGCCGUCCCCGUGGUGGAGAAGGAAGCUCGGGCUCGAACCUAUCUAUGCGGGCUCGGCUUGGUCCCGCGCUGCCACCGCUGCCUACCGCCGCCGGCUAGUGCGCGUCUUGACCUCCCCCUGUCAGCCGCACCCUCCCUCCCACCGGCGCACCCGUCCUCGAGCAGCUGCCUGCCGGGCCUGGACCUCCUACUCCCCCACAAGCCGGUUAGGGCUUGUUUUUGUACCCAUCGCUGUUCCAGCGACCCGAGGGCUUUUCAAACUCUCUGAAAGUGAGCACGUUGUUCCCAGAGCUUCGCCGAUCAUAGUGCUCACCUUGUUCAUUGUCGGAGCGGCCCGGAUCAUCGGUUUCAGCUUUGUCACUCCCGAUGCACACUCUUCGCAAAUUUCGGCCUACCUCCACACGCUCCUCGACCGUUGCCUAUGCUUCGGAUAGCAAGCACAUGCUUUGUCUCAACGAGACCUAUCAAUCAGUACCCUUGGUUGGCCUAGUACUAGAACAGAAUUAGAUUAUAUGGAUAUAUUUUUUAGACACUUUUAAGUAAUUUUCCUAUUUAUGCCAAAAAUUUUUUAAAAAAUCCAUUAAUGCCUAAAUAUAAAGCCCAAUACAAUCAAAAAUAAAAAGUUUCUGUAAGGACUGAGAUUUUUGCAGUGUAGCUAAACUCUCAGUUGAUGAUGUUUUUGUGUGUAAUUUAAUGACAAAAGCACUCGUCAAGUUUCGGGCGAAAACGAGUUAAAACGGAAAUUCUACGCGAUUUCCAAGUUUCACUUAAAGUGAAUAGUAACUUGAUUUUCCAGAGAAGCUACGGUGGGAAGUUGGCUUCUGGCUCGUACCGGACUCUGUUCAUAGCAGUCCAAUAGCUCGUUUCGACCGGGUCAGCUAUUCUGGAACUAACGACGCUGACGGAUUUUGAGUUUGACGCACGGAUUUCGAGAAAAUCCAAAAAUACAUGUUUUAUAUGUAUUUUUGCGUGUUUCUUUCGAUCGGAACGAAAGGUUGGAUUUUGUCGUGAAUCCGUGGUCGAUCGAGACGAAACGAAAUCGCAGCUUUAUUUCUCUACUCAACCAGCCCACCCAGCCACUCGCUCCGAAUUACAAAUAUAAAAGGAAAAAAAAAGAAAAUAAUCACUAUCCCCAUUUCUCCUCCUCCGCUGUCGUAGCCGAUAAGGUAGGUUCGGUGCUUGGAGUUCGGCUGGAGAAUGACCCAAGGACCGUAAACCUAUGAUCGCCACGUAUCCCUCCGCCACAGUCGCUGAGGAGUAGGUGCCAAACAUCGAGCGGGCCCACAUAUAGCUACCACAUUAGCAUACUUUUAAAAGUAUUGUAAUUUAGCCAGCAGCACAUUUUUUGAUCUGUAUCAAUAUUUAAAAAGAUAUCGCUAUACACAUUUUUGUGUGUACUUUGUCGAAGGCCUUAGAUCGAGAGGUGGGGGUGGGGGGGUGGUGGGGGGGGUAAUGGCUGGUGAACUUCCUCAAAUUGAAUAUACUAUAUUAUACUAUAUAUAUAUAGUUAUAUUUAUUAUUGAGGGGUAAGGUGUGAUGUUAAUAGCUACAAAUAGAAUUAUUGACAGUGGACUCGCACCGCAUUUCGGGACACUGUUGGUCUCGGUGAUGUCCCGGUGUGAUUUUCGAAACUUCCAACGAGUUACGUAGAUCGGUUUUUGGGAAACCAAUUCCGUGAAAAAUUUUUGGGAGUGUGAGUGAUGUGCUUUGAGUCGGUAGUGUUGGACUCUGACUCUGUGGACCCUUCGUAGGUUCGGUUGACUAUCCUGCGCAUCUUAGGGGCAGACGCGAUAGUGACACAUAUGGGUAUUUCGAUCCGAAGUCGGUCUAGUGGUGCAUGCUCGGUAAUGUUCUCUCCACCCUCUCUCUGCACUUCUUGCAUUAUUCGCUAUUGUUGAGCCUGACACCAUGCGACCUUGAUUCUUAUUGCUCUACUUAGUUAUUUCCUAUACUUGUUGGUCGUGAUCUAGAAGUAGAUCGGUUGUUGACUAUACUCGCGCAUGAUAUUAUACCAGUUGUGACCUAGUUGGUCAGUUUCUAUGACUCCUGUUGUUCGAUGACCUAUUUGGUCGGUAUACGUACCCUGAGGGGUUUGAUUGUUGGCUACUUGCCGACGGCUGGCUAUUGAGCAUAUUUGUAUCGAUUGUCACUGCUCGUGAGUAUUUUACGUACACCAGCGGUUUGGCCACCACAACAAUAUUCUUUUUUGGAAAAGUGGUCACACUUCUGCCCGUGACCCAGUAGCCCACUGCUAGGGUUAUAUGCCAUUUGAGCAGUCGUAGCACUUGCCUGAGGUCUUUAGAUCGACACGACGGAUUUCGAUUGAGUAUUUUGGACCGAUCAUUCGAUUGAUGCAUUUUAUUUACAGUAGCGAUAAUUGCACAUGUAUCUUGUUUUCUAUUUUAAAUUGCUACUAUAUUACCUUUCAUAGUCAUACAUUUGGUUACUAGUGAGUACAGUCGCCCUUGUCGGCUUGUGGUAUCCACUGGGAGAUCCUUGUUGGUUUCUCACCCUCCCCCCGUUUCAGGUGAUCUUAGAGGUAUGGGUCUGGACGAGGCGUGAGGCGCGUAUCUUGCAAGCGAUAGAGGUCCCGGGUUGGUAGCAUCUUUGGUUCUAAACUUAUCCUUUUCCUUUAAUGAAUAAGUAGACUAUUUGUGGUUCAGUUUAGUUUUACUUGGAUGUAUUUUUGUUUUGAGAUUUUUUUUUUGAGAGAUAUUUUGUUUUGAGAUUUUAAAUCAAAUGUUGUGGAGACAUCAUGGAUUUAUGUAAAUGGUUUUUUACCCCUCAUGAUAGCUAGUUUUCAAAGAUAAAAGGUUUAUAUGUGAGAAAUAGUUUUUAAAAGAUUUUUCGGCUUUUCACAAUCUUAGUGAUUCAAAAUAAGUUUUCGGGUGGAAAACACUUUCAAGUGAUAGAUGUGAAAUGUUUGUGAUUUAUAUGAUGUACAGAUGUGAAUGUAAUUGGUGAAUGGAUGUGGUUGUGACUUAUAUUAUGUGCGACGCCGUGCAAAAAUAGGAGAAACUCUAUCCGUGUGGACAAAGGAUUCUCUAUAAUUGUGGCGGGUCUGUCAUCCCUAGGGUCAAGAUUUUAAAAAAAAAUUAGGCAAUUCCUGCUAACCUGUUGGCUUCAAAUUGAUCCUAUUUUCAAAUGGCCUUAUAAAAAGAGACCCUGGGGCAUGACACAAAAAGCUAUCAAUUAUACAAUCAAAUAACAAAUAAAUUUCUUAUAAGCUGAGAUGUCAUUUUUGAUGAAGAUAGCUAUUGGAAUUGAAAUGAAAGUGCACAAGGGCCAUUAGCAAUUGAGGAAAGAAAGUCGCUUGCACUUCCAAAUGAAGAAGCAGAAGUUUUGCUAGCCACUCCAAAAAGCCAAAGGAAAAAAAAAAGUGAAAAAUCAUGUUUAUCAUUAUCAAAUUUAGAAACCCCUUCUCAAAAGGUAAAAUCAUUGAAAGAAAUUUAUGAAACUUGCAAAUUUACUUUUAUGAUUGCAGAGCUCGUAUGUUUUGAAGAAGCUUGUGAGGAAAAAGAUUGGAAGAACGGAAUGCAUGAAGAGAUGACAACUAUUGAAAAGAACAAAACUUGGAAACUUAUUGACUUGCCAAAAGAAAAAGAAGCAAUUGGCGUAAAAUGGGUUUAUCGUGUGAAGUGUAAUGCAGACAGAAAGGUUCAGAAAUAUAAAGCACGGCUUGUAGCCAAAAGCUAAGUUCAAAAACCUGAUAUUGAUUUUCUAAAACUUUUUCACUUGUUGCUCGUUUGGAAACCAUUCAAAUUAUUUUAGCUUUAGUUGCUCAAAUGAUGGCCUGUUUAUCAAUUCAAUGUUAAGUCAGCUUUUUUUAAUAGAAAUUUGGAAGAAAAUAUUUAUGUAAAGCAGCCAUAGGGUUUGUCGUUAAAGAAAAAGAGAAGAAAGUCUAGAACCUCAAGAAAGCUCUUUAUGACUUGAAGCAAGCUCCUAGAGCAUGGUAUAGUCGCCUUGAUAUCUAUCUUCGGCAACAUGACUUUCAUAGAAGUGAGAGUGAACCUACUUUAUAUGUAAAAGGUGAAAGGUAAAGAAAUUAUCAUUAUUUGUCUCCAUGACAUAUACAGAUUCAUUGGAUCUCCUUAUCCGUGAUUUUAAGAAUAUUAUGAUGUAUGAGAUUCGUUUGUCAGAUUUGAAACUUUUACAUUAUUUUUUUGGUCUUCAAGUUAUGCAAAUUGAUAAUGGUACCUUUUUAACCCAAGUAUAGUAUGUAUUGGACUUGCUCAAAAAAUUUUAGUUGCAAAAUCUUAAGGGAUUUGCAACUUCUAUGAAUCCGAAAGAAAAAUUUACAUAAGAUGUUGGGACCGAAAAAGUUGAUACACGAAUUUUCAAAAGUAUAGUUGGGGGUUUGAUGUAUUUAACACAUUCAUGUCUUGAUAUUAUGUUUUUUAUCAACUUAAUAUCCAUAUUUAUGUAUAUGAUCCUACAAAGCAUCAUCUUGGAGCCGCAAAUUGAAUUCUGGACUACAUUUAGGAAACUAUUAAUUUCGACAUUUGGUGCCACCCAACUACUAAUUUCAAAUUGGUUGCUUUUAGUGAUAGUGAUUGGGCAAGUCUCUAGAUGACAGGAACAGCACAAGUGGACGGAUCUUCAAGUUUGGAUCGGGAGAUGUCACUUGGGCAUCAAAGAAGAAAUCUACUACUGCAUUGUUCUCUAAAGCUGAAUAUAUGGAAGCAACAUCGGCUACCUGUCAUUGGAUGCAAAGAGUUUUGGAGGAUCUACAUCAAGCACAAGAGCAUCCAACAUAAAUAUAUUGCGAGAAUUAAUUGUUCAACCAUCGCAAUGACGAAGAAUUUGGUCUUCCACGGGCGCACGAAGUUGCACAUGCAUCAAAAUACGUCAGCACUUCAUCUGGGAUCUCGUUAACGAUAAGCAAAUAAAUCUACAUAAAAAAUUGUUUCACCAAUUAACAAGUUGCCUAUGAAUGACGAAAGCUCUCUCUCUUGACAAUUCUUUGAAGUUCAAAAGAGCCCUCGAUGUUACUGAAUUUGUAUCAAGGGAGAAUGUUCGAAAAUAUUGCAAAUUUGAUUAUGAUGUAUUAGUGGUCCUAUGAUAUAUAAUGCAAGUAGGGGGUGCAAGUAGUGCUAGUAGUGGGCUAAUUUAGUUAGAAGUUGAUGACUAAGCCAUAUAAAUAGUGGAGUAGUGGUUUUAACUUGUGCAAAAAGGGAGUCAUGGUGUGGAAUUUAUGCUAACUAAUUUUUACAUGCCUAGUAGAUGUAAUGGAGAAAAUGUGCUGAGUUGGGUUUUCUUGGUCCUCAUGUUUCCUUUUUCUAUUUAAAUUCUUAUUUGUAAUUCAACAAAUGUUUAAAUGAAAGUUUUUAUCGAUUUCUUCCACAUCAUUUCUGCAGCAACUUUUAUUAGUGAGCAUUAAUUAACUUUAGAAAGCUUCUUCUGCCUACAACUUUUUUUUCUUUAUUUUUAAUUUUAAACCUUUAUCCAAUUAAUUGGUAAAGAAUAAUUAAUUUUUAAUUUUUCUUGUUUAUCAUAAUUAAAUCAUUAUAAGCAAACCGGUGCAUCGUACGAGUACAAAUCUAGUUUAACUAUAAAUUAAGCAAAAGAACCGAGCCGCAAUAUCAGGGUUGUGUAAGGGGUAUUUAUCCAUACAAUAUUAAUAUUUACAAUAUUAAGUAAAUGGUCACUCAUGACGUAAAUAAAUAAAUAGUUUUGUAGACCCUCCUAGCCUUGUACACGUCCUGCAACACUAAUAAGGUAGCGCUUGGUUCGAAAACAAGGGGGAAUAAGCCCUUGUUCCUCCCUUUAUUUUCAAACAUUCUGUUUGGAUUAGGUACAAAAGGAGGGAUAAGGGGAUUAUCCCCCCUCUUGUACCGAAACACUAAUCAUCCAAAUACUAUUUACCUUAUUCCUAGAAACAACCCAAUUUUCAUCCAAACGUACACUACAACAAAAACGGUCUAUAGCGACACUUUUAAAUAUAGGUACAUAUCAAAAAAGUGCUGCUAGCUAAAAUUACCAACACUUUUAAAAAGUGUUGCUAUAUGUGGGGUCGCUAGAUAUAUAGUGACAGUUAAAGAGUGUCGCUAUAAUCUAAAAAAGUGCUGCUAAUUUACCAACACUUAUUUAAGUAUUUAGCAACCGCCGAAACUCUAUCUCGUUAGCUGCGGUAGCGGAGGAGGACGACAGGAAAGGCUCUUCGUCUAGAAUUUCAGUGGAUUGAGUAAAGAGAGAAGAAAAGAUGAUAAUUGAUUUUUCUUUUUUUUUUUCUUUUCUGUUUGUAAUCGGGCCAAAUGGACUGGGUGUGGUGGGUUGAAUAGAGUAAUCUUUUAUUUUUUGUUGGAUUGGGCUUUAUAUUUAGGAAUUAGUAGAUAUUUUUUUAAGUUUUAAGAUAAAUGGGACACUUUACUCAAAAGUGUUCCAAACAUGUAUCCCUAUAACCUAAUUCUGUUGUAGUGGUAAAAUUGGUCUAAUUCCUACAAAUGCAAUUUAAGGUUUUGGGCCAUGCAUGCACGUGAACAUUAUUCGGCAUCCAAAUUCCCAGGAAAAAGAAGAAAAAAAAGAAAGAUUCGGAGAGUUCUACUUUUUUUUUGUGGGGGCAUGCACUGAUUAUUAUUAAUAUUCAUAAUGCGGCCGACGCAAGUGUUACAGUCUCCGACUGUUGAAUAUGAUAUGGCUCUACUUGGGCUGAUUAAUAGGUGUCUGGCCAUUCCACUGCGCGCCAGAGAGGAGAAACCACGUGUCGUCGUGCUCAACUGUAUUUUUUUUAUAAAUUAAUCUUCUAAAAUUUUAAAAUUUAUAAAAUAAUUAUUCUAAAAUUAUAUUUGUAAAACUAACUCCUCUUUCGCCAUGCAGGCGUGAGGAAAAAUUUUUCUUAUAAAAGCGGUAAAUCGUUCAUCGCCUUCAAUAAGACGGUGAAUGACUCACCGUCUUACUAAUAUAAUUAGCAAAGGUAGUGAAAAUGGCCCAUCAUUUUUUGCUUAUUUAAUAUUUUUUUCUAUAUCUUAUAUAUAAUCUUAACAACCACAUAAAAAUUAUAACAAAUUACAUAUAAUUUUAACAACCUAAAAAUCUUAAUAAUCUAUCAAUACAAUCCUAAUAAUCCAAUAAAAAUUCUAAUAAUCCAAGUAUAAUCCUAAAAAUCUCACUUUUUCCUAUUUUUCAUCUAACAACCUCACAUUUUCCUAUACGUGGAUUAUAUGAAAAAUAGAAAAAAAUUUGAGGUUGUCAAAUGAAAAAUAGAAAAACUGAGGUUGUUAGAAUUAUACGUGGAUUAUAUGGGAAAUAGAAAAAAAGUGAAGCUCUAGAUGGAAAAUAGAAAAAAGUGAGGUUUUAGCAUGCGUAGAUUAUUGAAAUUUUUAUUUGAUUGUUAGAAUUGUAUAAAUAGAUUAUUAGGAUUUUGAGGUUAUUAAGAUUAUAUGUGAUCUGUUAUAAUUUUUAUAUUAGAAUUGUAUGAAUAGAUUAUUAGGACUUUCAGGUAGUUAAGAUUAUAUGUGAUUUAUUGUGAUUUUUAUGUGAUUGUUAAGAUUAUAUAUGAGAUAUAAAAAAAAUAUUAAAUAGGCAAAAGACGGUAAACCAUUUAUCGUCUUUGCUAAUUAUAUUAGUAAGUCGGUGAAUCGUACGUUCACCGCUUUCAUAAAAAAAAAUCAACUCCUAUGCCUAGGUGAAAGGAGGGUUAGUUUUACAAAUAUAAUUUUGGAAGAGUUAUUUUGCAAAUUUCAAAAUUCUAGAGGGUUAGUUCAUAAAAAAGUCCUACUCAACUAGUGAAGUUACACACACGUUGCAGCAGACUGAUGCUAUAAAAGAUAAAAAAAAUUGAUAAAAUAAAAAGUUUUAAAAUUUUUUGACUUGUCGUGAAAAAUCAAUAAAUACAAAUAUAAGAUAUGAAAUAGAUACACAAAAUUUAUAAUAUUAGCAAAUAAAUUACACAUAAUAAUAAUAAAAGAAACAACAAUAGAACACUACUCCAUAUGCAUAAGGGCCUGUUUGGUCUAGCUUUUGAAAAAGUGAUUUCUGAAAAAGUGAUUUUGGUUUGGAAAAAUGAUUUUGGUGAAAAGCUGUAGAGCGUUUGGCUGAGUUUAAAUAAAAAUGAUUUUUCUGAAGUGAUUUUGAAAAGCUGUUUGGCAAAAUUUUUUUUAUUUUGCAUAAAUUAAUAUUUUUAUUAAAUUUUAAUUUAAAAUAAUUUAAAAUCUAAAUUUAAAUUUGAAUUCAAAUUAAAAUUUUUAAAUUUCAAAAAUGCACAAAAUUUAAAAUUUGAUAUUUUAAUUUAAAAAAUAAUUUAAAAUUUUAAAAAUUUCAAAUUUAAAAUAAUUAUGAAAUUUAAAAUUUAAAAAUAUAAUUAUAAAUUUAAAAAUAUAUAUAAUUAUGAAUUUUAAAAUAUAAAAUUUUAAUAUAUAAAAAUAAAAAUUAAAAUUAAAUUAAAUUUAAAAGUAAUAUAUAAAAUUUAAAAAUUAAAAAUUAAAAAUUUAAAUUUAAAUUUAAAAUAUAAUAAUUAUGAAAUUAAAUAUAAAAUAUUAAUACUAAAUAUAUUUAAAUUCAAAGUUUAAAUUUAAAUUUAAAUUUAAAUAAUUAUGAAUUUUAAUUUUAAAUUUUAAAUUUUUAAUUUGAAUAUUUAAUUUAAAUUUAAAAUUUAAAAAUUAAAAUUAAAUUUUAAAAUUUAAAAUAUAUAAUUUGAAGAUUAAAUAAUAAUUUAAAAUUUAAAAUUUUAAAUUUUUAAAUUAAAUUUUAAAAUCUAAAAUGUCUAAUUUUAAAACUUAUCGUAAAUUUGAAAUUUGAAAUUUAAAAUUUAAAAAUUUAAAAUUUAAAGUUUGAAAUCUAUUUUUCAAAAUUUGAAAUUUAAAAAUUAAAAUUUAAAAAUUUAAAAAUGAAUCUGAAAAUUAAAAUUUAAAAUUAAAAUUAAAUUUAAAUUUAAAUAUUGAUUUUAAAAUUAAAAUAAAAAUUUGAAGUUUGAGUUCAAAAUCAGAAUCAGAUUUUAAGAAGCAGCUUUUUUUUUACUUCUGAUUCUGGGCCUUCAAAAUCAGUUUUCGGAUUCUAGAAAGCAUAAUCAGAUUUUAAAAGUGAGGUUGCCAAACACUCUAUUAAGCCGAAAAUCACUUUUCAACCUAACAGCUCUUUUUAGAAGCUAGGCCAAAUACCCCCUUAAUUGCAAUUCUCCACAUUACAUUUGCCGCCUUUGUUAGCGUCGAGCUUCUCUUUAGUCACGGUCACGUCGAUCACGUACAGAUCUCCCCAGACCUACCACUUCUUUCCACUCAUCAACUCCAAAUUCAUUGCUACUUUCUCCCACUGUGUCGCACCGCAAUUCUCAUAACCCUAAUUUCAUCCCUACCCAAUUUUUUAAAAAAGAGUAAUUAUAUGUAAGGACUGAGAUUUUGACAGUGUAUCUAAACUCUCUGCUAACGAUGUUUUUGUGUGUAUUUUAAUUACAAAAGCACUCAAGUUUCGGGAGAAAACAAGUUAGAAUGGAAAUUUUACGCUAUCUUUACUUUUCACUUAAAGUGAAUAGUAAUCCGGAUUUCCGGAGAGGCCAAUGAGUAGUGUUGGCUUCUGGCGCGUAUCAAACUCCGUUCAUAGCGAUCAAAUAACUAUUUGAGAGAGAGGAUGGGUUUUGUCGUGAAUCCGCGACCAAACCAGGUAAAACAAAAUCGUGGAUUUGUUGUCUCUGUCGUGCUGAUCGCAUUGGUGUGAUCCGUUCGCAAAUUUGACGGACGGAUCUCCUGAUAUCGCGCGUUGAUCGUGGAGGGGUUCAUUAAUGGCAAAACAGUAAUUUUGCGAAAAGCUCUUCAUUUUAUGUACCGUUUUGCGUGAAAUUGAUCUUGGGGGCGUGUUCGCGCGUUUUACUCGCGCCGUGAGGGACUCGGUUCUAAAUAUAAGGUUUUAGAGGACUUUUGCACAAAACGAACUCUUGUAUAUACAGCCUUUUGGGAAUUGCACCAUGGAAACCCCAACCCUAGCUCAACUGACCCUCUAGCCGUCACCAGCCACCUCCCUAUCCCUCGCCGUGCUCACCCCGGCUGCCGGCAAGCACCCCCGGCCACUGAAAAGGCCGGCAUUGCCAUCUUCUCUGCCUAAGCCUCCACCACCUCGGCCGUGGACCACCUUGGGGUGAUCCACAGCCUCAGGCCCCUCUCCCUCGGCCGAGAUCUGACCUCCUCCAUCGUCCCCGUCGGCCCUCGCCGCCUUCGCGCGCCGCCUGGGCUACCCGCGGCCAGCCGAGAUCAGCUCGGGCAGAGACCUAGCUUGCUCGCUGCCCGCGAACCGCCGCUGCCCUAGACCUGUCGCGCCGUCAUCCUGCGACCCUCGGCGACCUCCCCCGCCGAUCAUCGUCGUCCCUGCGAGCUGCCGCCAUCGCCUUGAGUUGCGGCCGCCCUAGGUCAGCCCAGGCCGACGAGCUUUAGCUCCCUUCUUGCGUCGCCGCCGCUACCUUGGGUCGGCCAAGCCGUCCUGCCCCGGAGCCCCGGUGACCUCCUCCGCCGCCUACCACUGUCGUCGAGUGCCGUCGCCCUACGGGCUCCCUGGGCGAACUUGGGCCAAGCUGGGCUUGCUGCCUUCCCUCCGCACCACCGCCGCCUGGAGCCAAACCGGCGACGACCCUGCGACCCUCCGGUACCCAAGCCCCCGGCCAGAGCGGCGGCCGCCACCCUCGCCCGAGCUGCGGGCCACCGCUUUCGUCACCCGCCGCCUCCAUCCUCCUCCUUGUGACCUCGGGGGACCCUCGCCGCUGAUCGGCGUCGCCCUGAGGUCGCCGUCGCCGGUGGAGCCUAACCCGAGCUCCUUUUUCCUCGUGCAGGCUAGGGCAUCGCUGCCUGCUUCUCCAGUCGCCUCACGCCGGCGUCUUGUGUGAGCGGCGGCCUCCCCCCACCGGCCGUACCUUCCUACCGCCGGCGGCCAGAUCCCAGCCCCCCUGCCCGGUGAGCUUAGUUUGUGCUGUCUGCACGUAGUUUUGGGUUUGUGAUUGUUUUUCUGGCAAUCCGAGGCUAUCUCAAUACCUCCGGAGGUGAGCACAGUGAUCGCUGGUCAGUGCCGAUCAUAGUGUUAACCUUACUUUGGAUCAGUAGCUUCUGAAGUUGCGUUGUCGGCACGGUUUUCCCCUAGUGCGCGCUGUUCCCUGAAUGUUCGGGUCGCUCCCGUACCUCCCACAGUGAGCCGUUGUGCUCCGGAUCAUGAGCACGGCCUCCGUCUUGUCGAGACCUGUCAGUACGUGUCUCGGCGGACCUCAAAAGUCCUCGGUUUGCGUUAACGAGCCACAAAAUCACCUGAUUUAUAUAAAAUAAUAAGAUUUUAUGUAAAUGUAGGGACUUUUAUGCAAUUGUGCAUCUUGUGGCUACUGUGGACAGUACAUAUGUGUAUGUGGAGACCUCUGGAUUGAUUGUCCAAGGUCCGAUAGCCUUCGCGGAAAUCGAUUGUCGAUUUUGGUGCGUUUUUCCGCGAAAUUUGCUGGCGGAACGCGGUUUCGGUUUGGAUUUCAUCCGACAGCAUUUGGUUGCCCUAAAAGUUGUUGCUGAGCCUUGUCAGCUAGUCACCAUCAUCAUAUCAUGAGUUCGAAGAUAACGGGUGAGCGACGGUGGAUUUCGGAGUCGAAAUUGACACUUCCAAAAACCCGAAUCCGAACAAUUAUCCGGUGAUAAUUGUUUAGUUGUGUAAUCUUGUGUUUGCUGCCAAGACGUCCAAAUCAGUGUGUUUUGUGGCAACGUGUGACUCAUGGCACGAGUCGAUGAGUUUCGGGACACUUAGUGGGUCCCGACGGCGUCCCGGUGUAAUUUUCGGGACUUCUGGCGAGUUAUGGUGAUUGGUUUAAGGAAAACAUUUUGGGGAUUUGUGUGGAGUUUGUGAAUUGGGUAUUUUGGACUGGUGGGUUGGUUACUGACCCGGUGGAUCUUCGUAGGUCCGGUUGACUUGUUGCGCACCCAGGUUCCCGACGCGAUAGUAACAGGUGGGUGCUUCGGGCUGGUAGUCGAUGAGAUCGUUUUUCUUUCCUCUGUUCUUCUAUAUCAGUAUCGUAGUCUCUACAUGUCGGUUGCUUUGGUUUAUUGUUCGUUCAUCUAUACCUUAUUGAUUGCAUGAUAAUAGUUGUUGAUAAACAUGUAGAGCAGGCUUGCAUAUAUUGUAUAUUUGUGGACCUUGGGUCUAGGCAACACAUCGAUUCCUUUCUCGUGUGUUUCGAUCUAGUUGAUCGUGGUUCGGCGUUGUAUGCCCUCUUAUCUGGCUUCGGCCAAGGCAUCGGCUUCUUGCCGGUUUUCGCAUUGAGCAUAUCAAUAUGAUUCAGUCACAGCACUUGGGUGUAUUCAUUGACACCAGGUCGGUUUGGCCACCGACUGGAGGUGUACUUAUCCGAAUUGGUCGUUCAGUGGACAGAUGAAUCAGGUCAGUGCAAGCAAUAUGAUAGGCAACGUUUGAGGUCUGCAGACCAAUAUAGCAGGCACCAGAUUGGGUAUAGUUUUGGAUUAUAUACCCUUGAGGCAUCUGUUCAGUUGAGUUUUUGUUACAGUAGUAGUUUGGCUCUUACUCAUUUACUAUCGUGUUUCUAUUACUACUGUAGUUGCACUUAUAUCACACAUAUAUCAGUUUGUUCUAUCUCCUUUAUUUUUCAGUGAAUAUGAUUUGCCUGCGUGGCUCUGUCGUACCCACUGAGAAACCUUGAUUGUGGUUUCUCACCCCCAAUUUCCCCAGGUGGCUCGGGUAAGGAGUUGGUUUUCGGCACGACGAGAGAACAUACUAGCUAGACUGCAGUAGCGACCGUCACCCUUGUUAUGUUUCAUUUCCGCAUUUAGUAAUUUAAAUAAUUAAAUGGUUCAGUUAGAAGAUCACUAUUGCUGUUUGAAUGUUUAUGAACUGUUUGUGUUGGUGAUUUUCUAUUAUGUGUGCAAUUGGAGAUUUUUGGAUUUGUGGUUUUCUACCCCUCGAGGUAGUCGGUUUUCAAAAUGGAGUUUUCGAGUGGGAAACAAUUUUAAAAAGGGUUUUGAAUGAUUUCAUGGAGGAUUAUAUAGAGUUUAAAAACAAAGCUUCUGGGUGGGGAGUACUUUUAAAUAGGAUGAUUGUUAUACUGUGCAUCGCAUCAUCCAGCGCCUAAGGAGUGCUUAGAGAUAUGCAUCAUCUCUAAGGAUCGCUAGCUGUAUAGAAAUGAAUCGCAUGGAUUGUUUAUGGAUUGGUGAAUGUAAGUUGUUGUUGUGAUUCUGAUGUUAUUAUUGGUACGCUGUGCAAAUAUAAAGGAGACUUUGUUCGUGUGGCCAGAGAAACUUUGUAUUUGUGGCGUGUCUAUACGUCACGUGGGCCAAGCUGAAUUCAAAAAAAAAAUGGCACAAUUUCUGCAACUCUGAUUUUAAAAAUUGUACUCAUUACAAAAAGGCUUUCAAAAUCGGCCCCAGGGCGUGACAAAUUAAGAUGGCAUCAGAGAUUGAAACAAGUACAACUACAUUUACAAGCUUUCUAACUGAACUAUUGGUUACAUUGACCUUAAGAAGACCAUAAAAUUGUAGGCGUGUGCGAACGCGGGGUAUUCGAGAUUUAAUCUCGAGGUUAUCAAGCUAGGAGACUCGAAGGUUGAUUUGUAUUUAUUACCUCGUAUUUCUUGUGUUGCAGGAUAUGGCAUGUACUCGUUUUGGUGUUAGGAGUGGGUGCAGUGGGUGGACUAGCUCUGAGCAGUGAGGUGUCGACAGGCUGCUUUUACUACUGUGAUCGCCUCACCUCCAACACGGGACUCGUAAGCCUCUGCGAGUCAAUCCGCAGGCACACACGGUUUCACUUUUGGGUUAUAUCGGAUGGUUGUGCUGGUGGAAAUAUCAAGGCGGAUGUUUCGAUCUUUUUGUGGUUCUUUGUCAAUGUGGUGUGUGCCGGAUCUAGCUAAUGUACAGUCGUGAUGUUAGAUCUCUGUUUGUGCAUUCAAGUGCAUUAUAAGGUUAUUGGUCGGCUUAGUUUUUGUGUCACGUCUCCAACUUGCUGUUGGCGAUGGAUCUUCGGGUAUUUUACCUUUCUUUCGAUAAGUACAUUGACUGCAGAUAACGUAAUGUUGAAAGUUGGGACGAAAUACCCUACCCCUUUUGGGAAUACUUGAAUCGGGUCAGUAUUUUCUCGUGUAAGACUAUCUCUUAGACCGUCUUGUGGAGAGGCGACGAUCAUCUUGACCACCUAGUGAGCCUGGUGGUUGGAUCAGAUGUCGUGACUUGUGAUAUUGUACAAGGUAUACGAUUUGGUUUAUCGUGAAUACCAUGGAUUGGAUUGUUGUUCGGUCACUUGGUGAGAGGUACGUUGGAGUCUCGAUGAGACUGGCAUUUAGUGUUGCUAGAAAUAUCGAUCGCUUGGGUCCCUUGGGGAUGACAGCGACAGGGUCUCGUAGAGACAGAUGUUGGGCAUCACUGGUGAUUACGGUCGCAUGUUGCGAGAGGCAACUCUGUUCACCUAGUGACAGAUCUGCAUGGGUUUUUUUUUUUUUUGUUGAUCUGUUUGUACCCGAAUGUGUUUUGAGCAGGCUAAAUUGUCGGGCUCAACUAGUAAUGGCAGCCUUAGACCUUUUGGUCUAGGCGAAAGGUUAGGUCUUGGACCUAAAAGAGUUGGAUGCCAUCGAAGGGUCACGAUAGUUAAGGUUUGGCUUUGUCUGAUCAUAGUUCGGACUGUUGGGAGGUUGUAGCCUCCGAGGUGAGUGUUGGUACUCUAGUUUAAGGGCUUUCCUGCCACGGUAAAAUAGCUGUGCUUGGUGCGUUAGUAGAGUGAUAUCCGAAUUUGUUUUCGGUGGUGUAUAGGCAAGUUUCGAGAACGAAACUUUCUUUAAGGGGGGGAUGAUGUAAGAACUGAGAUUUGGCAUUGUAGCUAAACUCUCUGUUGAUGAUAUUUCUGUAUGUAUUUUAAUUACAAAAGCACUCUUCAAGUUUCGGGAGAAGACGAGUUAGAAUGAAGAUUUUAUGCGAUCUUUACUUUUCACUUAAAGUGAAUACUAACUCGGAUUUCCGGAGAUGCCAAUGAGUAGUGUUGGCUUCUAGCGCGUAUCGGACUCCAUUUAUAGCGAUCCAAUAGCUCUCUUUCAAUGGUCCGACUAUUCUGAAACCAUUGGCGCUGACGGAUUUUAGAUUUGACGCACGAAUUUCGAGAAAUCUGAAGAUACAUGCAUUUUAUGUAAUUGUGUGUGGUUUUAACUAUUAGAGAGAGAGAGGAUGGGUUUUGUCGUGAAUCCGCGACCAAACCAGGUGAAACAAAAUUGUGGAUUUAUUGUCUCUGUCGUGCUAAUCGUACUGGUGCGAUCCAUUCGCAAAUCUGACAGACAGAUCUCCUGACAUCGCGUGUUGAUCGUGGAGGGGUUCAUUAAUGGCAAAACGAUAAUUUUGCGAAAAACUCUACAUUAUAUGUACCGUUUUGCGUGAAAUUGAUCUUGGGGGUGUGUUCACGCGUUUUACUCACACCGUGAGGGACUCGGUUCUAAAUAUCAGGUUUUAGAGGACUUUUGCGCAAAACGAACUCUUGUAUAUACAGCCUCUUGGGAAUUGCACCAUGGAAACCCUAACCCUAGCUCAGUUGACCCUCUAGCCGUCACCAGCCACCUCCCUACCCCUUGCCGCGCACACCUCGGCCGCCGUCAAGCACCCCCGGCCACCGAAAAGGCCAGCAUUGGAAAAAAAAAAAAACAUGGCACGAUUUUCGCAACUUUGAUUUAAAAAAUUGUACUCAUACAAAAAGGCUUUCAAAAUCGGCUCCGGGGCAUGACAAAUUAAGCAAAUUAUAAAAUAUGAAUCUUUUUUGUGCCCCUCUCUAAAAAAAGAAAAAAAAAAUUGAGAAAAAAGAACAUUAAGAUAUCUUAAUUUACUUUUCUUUUUUGUGAAAGGAAAUCCCAAUCUUCAUGUCGCCUCCACCGCCAUUAUCAGCGUCGAGUUCCUCCUUGGUCACAGCGACGUUGAUCUCGACGGAUUCCUCCACACCCACCGCUCCUUCCUCCUCACUAACUCCAAAUCCAUCGUCGCUUUCCUCAGCCGUGCCGUGUCGUGAUUUCCAAAACCCUAAUUUCAAUCCCUAUAUAAUUUUUUAAAAAAUAAGAAAAAAUUUAAAAAUAUUAUAAACUAUGAACCUUUCUUGUGUGCCAAAAAAAGUAAGAAAAAAGUGUAUGAAAAUAUCUUAUUUUAUUUAUUUCUUUUGAAAAAUUGAUUUAUUUAUAUGACAAUGAACCAUAUGAACAUAUUAAUUAGGAAGUAGGUAGGUAGAUCGACGAAACAUCACGCUGAAGAUAAGAGAUAAUAAAUUCGAUCAUUAGGAAGAGGGGAGAAGGCGUGCCAAAAAAAGUGAGAAAAAAGAGUAUAAAAAUAUCUUAUUUUAUUUAUUUUUUUGUAAACUUGAUUUGUUUAUAUGACUAUGAACCAUAUGAACAUAUUAAUUAGGAAGAAGGCUUGCCAAAAAAAGCGAGAAAAAAGAGUAUGAAAAUAUCUUAUUUUAUUUAUUCUUUUUGUAAAAUUGAUUUGUUUAUAUGACAAUGAACCAUAUGAACAUAUUAAUUAGGAAGUAGGUAGGUAGUAAGACGAAACAUCGUGCUGAAGAUGAGAGAUAAUAAAUUCAAUCAUUAGGAAGAGGUAGGGGUGUAAACGAGCCGAACACGAGUGAGCUAGGGUCGGCUCGUGUUCAGCUCGUUUAUUAAACAAGCCGAACACGAGCUGGUUUCGUCUAACUGUAUCAAGAUCGAGAAAUCUCCGCUCGUGUCCGGUUCGUCUGUUAUCGAGCCGAACACGAGCGAGCUGAUCCCUGCUCGUGUUUGGCUUGUUUAUCAAACGAGCUGAAAAAUUCAACUCGUAUUCAGCUCGUUUGCUAAAUAAACGAUUCGAUUUCGAGCUUAUUUCGAGCCGAACACGAGCUGGCUCGUGAACAGCGAGCUGGAUUGCCACCCUAGGAAGAGGGAAGAAGGCAAGGGUGAAUGAGGCAUUACCAUGUGGCAAAGUUUAUAAGGAAUAAUAUAUAGGUAUAGAUAGAUAGAUGUCACUAACUAACAGCCUGUUUCACUCCUAGCAUUUUUGUUUCGUUUUAGAAAAUAGCAACCAUUAUUCAUUUGAAUAUAUAUAGAGAGUUGAGUUGGAAUACUAUUAAUAGUAUUUGGGCUCUUUUACUAUCAAUUUUUUAACCACUAGAUCUAUAAUUUGAUCAAUUUUAUCUUUUAAACCAUAUAACCAUUAGAUCUAUAAUUUGAUGAAUUUUUACCUUCUAAUUAAACCAUGCUAUUCAAUAAACCUCCCACUCAACCCUAGGGGACCACCACUAAACCCUAAGGGACCACUAUUAUCCUACUACAAUUUUUCAUCCAAAGGUUAAAAACUCCAUAGCAAAAGAGGCCAAAUCUAUAGACAUAUUAAGUUGUCAGUUUUCCUGUGGCCGACGUGGCCGCUCCCCCUCUCUGGCGUUUCUUCUCGGGCAGUUGCGGGCGCAGGAGGGGGGCGAGCGGGCGCCGGGCGCGGGUCACGCGCCGCUCACAUGGCAGGCCCUCUCUCUCUCUCUCGUUCUCUCUCUCUCUCUCUCCGCGCACGGGAGGUGAGGGUCGCCCGCACAUGGCGGGCCGCCCCCCUCGGCUCUCUCUCUCUCCCCCUCUCUCCCUCUCCCCACUACUAAGCCCCUCCCGUCUCUCUCUUUCUCUCUCUCUCUCUAGACAUAUUACUUUGUCAGUUCUUUUAUGGCCGACGUGGCCGCUCCUCAGCGCUCCCUCUCUCUGGCGUUUCAUCUCCGGCAAUCGCGGGCGCGCGAGGGGGCGAGCCGGCGCCUGGCGCGGGUCGCGCGCCGCGCACAUGGCUGGGCCCCUCUCUCUCUCUCUCUCCGCGGGCGGAGGGUGUCGGUCGCCCGCGCAGAUGUAGAGCCCCCCCGGCUCUCUCCUCUCCAUCUCUCUCCUCUCCCCACCCUAAGCCCGUAUUCCACGUCUGUUCUCUCCUUUCCUUUCUCUCUCUCGCCUCUCCUCACCUCUCUUCAGCCGUCACUCUCUCUCCCCAGUCUCUCUCCUUCUCCGAGCGCGCGGGGGGUGGCGGGUCCGCCCCGCCACAUGGCGGGCCCUGCCCCCGGUACUGGACUCCCCCUCUUCUUCAUCCUCCCCUCUUUCUCCUUUCUCUCCUCUCUAUCUCCUCAUGCCACCCGUAAGCCCCCAUACUCUUCUCCUCCUACCUCGCUCUCCGCCUCUCUCCUCUUCCUCGUCUCCUCUCCUAUUCUUCUGGCCCACCUAACCCCGUGAUCUCCUCUCCAUCUCUCUCUCUCUCUCUUUUUCUCUCCUCUCACCCUCGGCUCUCCCUCUUCUCUUCUUUUUUCCCGGNNNNNNNNNNNNNNNNNNNNNNNNNNNNNNNNNNNNNNNNNNNNNNNNNNNNNNNNNNNNNNNNNNNNNNNNNNNNNNNNNNNNNNNNNNNNNNNNNNNNNNNNNNNNNNNNNNNNNNNNNNNNNNNNNNNNNNNNNNNNNNNNNNNNNNNNNNNNNNNNNNNNNNNNNNNNNNNNNNNNNNNNNNNNNNNNNNNNNNNNNNNNNNNNNNNNNNNNNNNNNNNNNNNNNNNNNNNNNNNNNNNNNNNNNNNNNNNNNNNNNNNNNNNNNNNNNNNNNNNNNNNNNNNNNNNNNNNNNNNNNNNNUCUUUAGAUAGGAUGAGUGGGCCCCCUAGGGUGAUGUGGAUGUUGGUUGAUUAGUAAUAUCUAGAGCGUAAAAAUAAUCAAAGGGAUUAAAUUCUCGAACGGCAGGAAAGCUUGAUGCACAAGUGCUUUGGUGCUUAUCGAUAAGCUAUACAGUCAGACGCAUAUAUAUAUAUUAUAUAUCUAUAUAUAUAUAAUAUAUAUAUAUAUAUAUAAUAUAUAUAUAUAUAUAUUGAUAAUAUAUAUACUAUAUAUAUCUUAUAUAGUAUUAUAUAUAUAGUAUUUUAUUAUAAAUAUAUAUUUAUAAUAUAUUAUAUAUAGUUAUUGAUAUAUAGUGUUUAUUGUAUAUAAAUAUAUUUUUAUUUAUUAUAUAUAGUAUUUUAUUUUUAUAUAGAUAUGGGUUGGGCCUAGAGGGGGAAACGGAAAAAUGUUUUUUUUUUCCCUUUUUUCACUCUCUUCAAUUUUUUCCAUUCUUUUUUCUAAAGUCUAAUCUAAUUUUUUAUUUUUUAAUAUAAAAAUUUAAAAUAUAUAAAUAAUGUUUAAAUAGGUUAUAUUAUUUGUAUUAAAUAUAAAUUUAAUCUUAUACUAUUAAGCAUUUACUUAAUAUUCACUUAAUACAAAUUUUUAAUAUUUAAAUUUUAAUUUGAAUUUAAAUUAAUAUAUUAUAAAGAUAAAAUUAGCAUAUUAAUCUGAUUACGUUUUUUAUAUUUUCAUGAUUACAUUUUUAUAUUUACAUGAACCAAACACCGAUAAUGGGAAUGAUUUAUUCCGAUUGCGAUUCAGAUGAUGAGUCAAACAGAAUUAGGUAAUGAGUCAUUCCGAUUCCGAUUCCAGCUUAUUUCGAUUUCGAUUCCGGCUUCGAACCAAACAUGCGAUUCAGAUGGUGAACCAAACAGAAUUAGAUAAUGAGUCAUUCCGAUUUCGAUUCCAGCUUAUUUCGAUUCCGAUUUCGAUUUCGACUUCGAACCAAACACGCCCAUAGAUUGUAUCUUUAAAAAUAAAAAAAAAUUUGAUGACAUUUAAGUUAAUUUUAUUAUAAAAUUUAGUUGUAAGAAUCGCAUAAAAUAUACUAUCUACAUUUGCGGAACUAUGCGAAACAUUCGAAUUUUUAAAGAUAUUAUUGAUUGACUCAAAUCUAAUAUAUCGAAAAAUUAAACCUCUCCUCAUAUUUGGAGAAAAAGAUUUAUUUUUCCCUCCUCAUAUUUGGAGAAAAAGAUUUAUUUUUCCCUCCUCAUAUUUGGAGAAAAAGAUUUAUUUUUCCCUCCUCAUAUUUGGAGAAAAAGAUUUAUUUUUCCCUCCUCAUAUUUGGAGAAAAAGAUUUAUUUUUCCCUCCUCAUAUUUGGAGAAAAAGAUUUAUUUUUCCCUCCUCAUAUUUGGAGAAAAAGAUUUAUUUUUCCCUCCUCAUAUUUGGAGAAAAAGAUUUAUUUUUCCCUCCUCAUAUUUGGAGAAAAAGAUUUAUUUUUCCCUCCUCAUAUUUGGAGAAAAAGAUUUAUUUUUCCCUCCUCAUAUUUGGAGAAAAAGAUUUAUUUUUCCCUCCUCAUAUUUGGAGAAAAAGAUUUAUUUUUCCCUCCUCAUAUUUGGAGAAAAAGAUUUAUUUUUCCCUCCUCAUAUUUGGAGAAAAAGAUUUAUUUUUCCCUCCUCAUAUUUGGAGAAAAAGAUUUAUUUUUCCCUCCUCAUAUGUCACGCCCCGGAUUGCACGAUCACCGGGCACGCCGACAAAUCCGCCGUAUACAAGAAAUUUUUUCUGUAUACGAAGCGUAGCAGUACCUGUACAACACACAAGGCUACGAACAGUAGCGUAGAGCUGAAACUAAAACAAACUGAACAGGUAGAGAAAGAACGAGUCUAUAUACAUACAAAAAUCUCUAUACAAAAGCACUCGCUCCAACGAGUUCACAAAUAUGUACAUAGCUCCCAAANGAAGGGAUUUCGGUGGCCUACUCACCUCGACAACCGCCCUGGGAGCAGCACCACGUCGAGGAUGGUAAGGGACAGCAGUCGCCCGGCCUCCUCGCAGCGUCACAAUGUUGAAAGCACCCUCGAUCCGCUCCGCGGCGCGUCGUCGACGAAGCUUGAGCUUCUCCCUUGAGCUCCUCCACCACCUCUACUCAGCCAAGGGGGAAGAGGAAGAAGCACAGCAGAGGAGGAAGAAGCCCUCCCCCCUCUCUCCUCCCUGCUCUUAAGGUAAGGGAAAAAGUGGUGACAAGACUAGAGAGGAAAAAGUCAAACAGCACCAUACCUGUCAAAGUGUACCGGUACAGCUCACUGAAAAUCUGCUAUUUCGCAGAUCUUCAAGAUACACGCUGCUCUCAAGUUCCCACAAGGCCCGUUUGGCGUCCACUUCGCGCCAACGCGACCCGGACUUGACCCGACACUCUCCAGAGCUGUCGACAAGCCUCAGCUAAAAUUCCCGGUCUCUACAUCAUAUCUGGAGAAAAAGACUUUUUUUUUUUUUAGCGGGCGACCCACUCCUCUCUCUCUCUUUUUCCUUUUUUUUUUUCCCCUCUUUUCUAUCUUUUUUUUUAUUCUAUAUGAUUGUGGAUCACAUAAAAAAUUUAAAAUUUAAAAUUUUGUAGAAAAUUUAAAACUUAAAAGUUAAAAUUAUAUAUUUUACCUUAAUUCCUAAAACUAAAAUUUUACUAUUUUAAAUUUUAAAUUUUAGUUUUUAUAUUUUAGAUUUUAAAUUUUAUAUUCAAAUUAAAUGAUAACAACGGAACCAUAGGAAUAUAUUCUUAUAUACUUUUAUUCCAAGUUUGAUAAAUAAUAUUGAAUAGUUUAUUCAAAUAUUUUAGAAAUUGCGUAAAUUUUCUGCUGUGAAGCGCGAGCCUUCACUAGUACUAUUAAUAGUAUUGCAACCCAAUUUUAUAUAUAUAUAUAUAGAGAGAGAGAGAGAGAGAGAGAGAAACUAUUAUACUAUUGAUAGUACCAAGCGCCGGGUGCUAUUGAGUUUCUGGCCGUUAGAUUAAAAAAUAUACGGUUAGAAUGAUACUGGUCCCUUAAGAUUGAGUAGGUGGUUGAUUGAAUAGUAUAAUCUAAUAGAUGAAAAUAAUCAAAGAAUAAAUCUAACAGUAAAAAACUCGACAGUAUCAAGAGCUUGAUAUUAUUGAUAGUAUAAUAGUCGGACUCUCUCUCUCUCUCUCUCUCUCUAUAUAUAUAUAUAUAUAUAUAUUGUGNNNNNNNNNNNNNGCCCAAGGCUCAACAACAAGGAUCAUGUACAUUUAGUUGCCCAGGUAAACAUAACAACAUACAUGAAUCAUUGCGAGUAUAAUACAAACAAGAGUAAAAGAGAGAAAGCUAACUAUUACAUUCAUCAUUCAACCAUUUACAUGUUCAUCUCAAAAUACAUUCAACUCUCCAAAAGUAACCUUACCCAAUAUACAUCAUGUCUCUCAACUAUACAUGGUUUUCUAAUGCAUAAUGGAGGCUACUAACUAGUUAGGGCACUAUGCCCUUACCACGAUCCUUGCCCGGUCCACGCGAGCUCGUCCCUGCAACAAAGUGGGAUGAGAACUAAUAAUAAUUUCCAGUGGGUUCGGCCGCCGACUCCGCCGAUCUUCCCACUAGGUCUUAGCAGGCAUAAGUAGAGAUAUAAUGGAAUAAUAAAAUCUGCUAACAUAGUAAUGAAAUCUGCUAUCAUACUACUAUGCCUCAAUCAACAUUAUACAAAUGAAGUAUCUACUUAGCAAUGAACCAACUAUCAUGCUAAUAUGCUUCAACAACAUCAUGGAUAAAGAUAUGAACAUAGCUAUGAAUUCUACUAACAUGUCACUAUGUCUCACAUCAUGCUAUGAAUGCAAAAUCUACUAUGCCAUUCAUAUACCUGUUGCCCAAUUACCUUGGCUAACCCGAAGGUUACGCCCCAACUCACAUCUCAAAUCCCAUAGGUGAGGAGACUCUGCUCUACGCACACCCAAGACCGCCUGCUGGGUAAUUACCUCGUUAACCCAUCGUGUGAUAACUCCGGAGCUCACUGCUUGGGUGGAGCGACCACCGCCAAGCUCAAAACAGACUAUGUGAGUACGAUUAAUUCCCCUCAACUUAAGAAUAACCUCUUCUGCCAGGGUUAUAGUGCUUCUGCCGCACAAGUUCAACUUGAGGAUAACCCUUUCUGCCAGGGUUAUAGUGCUUCUGCCGCACAAGUUCCAAAUGCCACAAAUCAACAACUCGGGAAAUAUCUACCAAUCCCAAUAUUCAUGUCGUAGUGUUUAUGCUACAUAAUCCCAAAACAUGUCAUAGUGUUUCUACUACACUAAUCCCAAAACAUGUCAUAGUGUUUCUACUACACUAGUUUCAUAAAUCAUAUAACAACAACUCAGAAAUUCUUCUAUCCUAU
rnacentral:lncRNA from 1 species